AAAAAUCAAAUCAAAACUUGCACCACAAAAUCUAGAAUCCUCAAAUAGGUAAUGGUUUUCACCAUUUAUUUAUAAAUUCGUAUCCGCAGUUGACAAAUCCUAAGAGUAUAACAAAAACAUCAAAGAAGAAGAUAUGACGACGUUAAGAAAUUUGAUAAUCAUUGCACUCAUUAUGAUUAUAAUGGCAACCAUGGUAGUCGUCAAUGCCAAAACUAAAGAACUAUGCUUCUUUGAUUGCUUUGAUAACUGCAAAGGAGAGAAAAUGACAUGCACACAAAGUUGCAUUAAAACUUGUGGUUCAUCUGGAUAAUUAUUUAUAAGAAUUGAGAAACAAUAAAUGUUACAUAAUAUAUAUGUCAAAAAUAUUUCUAUACUAUUUGACUAAAUAUGUGACUUAAUUUAUAAUUAAAAUGUGUGUGAUAUAAUUAUUAAUGUAUAUUAUAAUAAUUGUUGUUUUCAUUUCAAAUGUCUAUUCAAUGUAUUAUGCAAAACCAUCUUCGAUGGAUUAGGAUUUUUUUUUUUGCAAAUAUUAAAAGUUUUCAUUAAAGAUAAUGAAAGGCAAUGUCCUGAAAUACAAUUGAAUAGGAAAAUAAAAAUACAGUGGGGUUGAUAUAUAUUGUGGUUUCCACUAUAUCGACCUUUUCCUAUAUAGCUAUUCUUCUUAGUGUUCUAACUAAGAAUUAAGCCUCAGGAGGGUUGUCUUUCAAACCUUCAUAGUAGUCAUUUCCAAUUGUAAAUCACAUUUUUAAAAAAGAUAUCAGUUUUAAAAGAUAUUCUGCAGUCUUUUUAUAGGAUUGAUAGGAACUGUAAUUGGAGAUAUUGAAAAAAUAGGGUGAGCUUCAGGUAAGAUAUCAAAAAUAAGAUAUCUUGUGAGAUAUUAAUCUAAGUUGUUCAUUUAUUUUUUAAGAAUAAUCACACUCAUUAAUAUAAUCACGCGAUUCAAGCAUCUCUUUCCUUUUAAUAUGGUAUCGAGAGCAUAAAUAGAAAAUUUUCUGUUACGAUCCUUUUCUUAUCUUCUGAUUCUUUGAUCAUCUUCGACCAUGGUUGAAACCACUACCCUUUCAAAACCUCUCAUUAAGAUCAAGGACACAACAACAGUCAAAAUCGACAGUUCGAACUUCUUUGCGUGAAAGGCGCAAACCAUCACGCAUCUUUCUGGAUACGAUCUCUUGCGGUUCAUCGAGAAGAUGCCCCCGUGGUACGUCAAGACCAGCUAUUGUUAGGCUGACUGCUAUCCGCCGUUGUUCUUCCUCAAGUCGGCGAAUACCACAUUGUAUGAAGUGUGGACUGCAUUGCAGAACCUAUUCAAUGUAAAAUCCAAAUCAUGAGCUCACUAUGUUGAAAAAGGGAGGAAUGUUUGUUGACAAGUACUUAGCAACUGUCUCCAAGAAACUGGUAGAUGAAGUUCGCGACAACGGACUAAAGAUCGAGGAUAGUGAAUUAGCUCUCAUCACACUCGAUGGAUUGGAUAACUCAUAUGACACGUUCGUCACGGUGGUAACAACGUCGGUUGGAGAGUUAUCAUUUUCUAAAAUAAAAGGCCUCUUGAUUCUUGAAGGCAUAUAAACGACGGCACAUGAGAGAUGUCAGGAUCAUUUCUUUUCCCUCUGCAAAUUUUUAUUAAAUCUGGAUAUCAACACAAGGCUGGAAACUCAUCUGGAAAUUUUUACAAGAUUGGAAAUUCAUCCCAAGUAGUUUGCCAAAUCUGUAUUAAGCCGAAUCACUCAACGAUUGAAUGUUACAAUCGUCGCAAUGAAUAUAAUUGGAUUUUUCCUCUUCCAAAUAAAUCAUAUGUAAAAGUUGUUUUCUUAUCAUUCAAGAAUCAAUCUGGUCGAAAAUCAUCGUAAUCGUAAGAUAAAGAAGUUACAAAGAGAUAAUGGCGGUGAGUUCUUGACACUCAAAUCAAUCUUAGAAGAAGCAAGUAUCUUUCACAGAAGAUCUUGCCCAUACGUUCACCAACAAAUGGAAAUUAUUAAACACAUGCAUCGAUACAUCGUAGAUGGAGGAAUUUCGCUAAUGACAAAAGCAAAUCUUCCCCAAAGCUUCUCUAACAUAUAUAAUUCUAAUGAUUACGGGAGAUAGACUAAAGGAAAAUCAGAUAAAAGAAUUGAUAAACGUCAAAUCUGCAAAGGAGCAGGGCAUGAGGCCAUUAUAUCUAUAUGCAUGUCCUAGCUAUAUAUAUAGUAGAUCUGAUCAUGCAAUUCAAGCUGAAUGCACUUCAUAUGACAGAGGAAGCUUUUGCUAGUGAAUGGCUUGCAUAUACAAAAGUUACAACCCACAUGACAUAUGAUGAAGGUAAAUUAGAUUACUCUUUACCUUACUGAUGAUACUCUUGGCCCACUGAAGUGUCCCAACAGGAACAUCACCGGACUAGAUCCAUCAGACUGAGCAUCUCUGGAUCCACCAUCGACCAAACCCCGACCCAACAGAGAGGCCCAAGAACAUCCCCAUGUCCACUGUCGGCCUGUUCCCAGCUUGGCCUACCAGAACGGUCCGAGAACAUUAAGGCCAUGCUAUGCCUUGGGAAUAGCAGAAGGUCUAUUAAUACCAGCCUCCUAGGAAGGAGGGACAUGUUACAUUUAUUACAUACAUGUGCUACACUAGAGAGAGAGAGAAAUAGACUGAAUCCUAAUCCGAUUGUGUAGGUCCAUUUCCGGCCAUACAUCAUCACUUAUAUUUGUGAAAAUGUGUAAAAGUAGAAAAUGGAAAUUAAUUAUCAAUUUCACAUAUUAGAAGUAAAAUUGUAAACUUAAAAGAUGAUACAAAAUUAUAUCUAAAAAAUGAGUUAGUGGUACCAAAUAUAAAAAGGAAUGUGCUUUCAAUAAACAAAUUAACAAAAGAUUAUCAUUUUGUAUUUGAAUUUGAUAAAAAUAAUUUUCUGAUUAAAGUUUUUCUAACGAAAAUAAUUAUAUUCAAGAGCAAGAGGAUCAAAGAUGAUUUGUACACUAUUAGAUCAGAAGAUUGUGAGUAUCACUCCCUAAAACUCGUUAAAGGUGAAUGUGAGAAGCCAGGGCAUUAUAGUUGAAAAAACUCUCUUCACACUAGCAGUGGCAAAUGCUUGUUUCAGAAGACGAUAAAAUAAGUAGUGAGAGUGAUGUGCUUAUUUUGUUUUACCAUCAUUUGAGCUAGCCCACUCACUACAAGAAAUAAGACCUUGUAUGGCGGUCUUUAGAUGACGGAAACCAUCUAAAGUGAUAGUCAGCGGAAAUCCGUCAUCUAAAGACCGCCAUCUAGGAAACCGCCAUUAAAACCCCAUAACCGCCAUCUAAAGACCGUCAUACAAGGUCUUUUUUUAUAUAGUGACGGUUGCCAACUACCUCUGCAUAUGCAAAGUCAGAUUUUGCAAUCAAAACAAAAGUAUCCAUUUGUUUUUUGAGCAUAUCUAAUACACUAUCAUUUGGUAAAUCUUGAGAGUAGGUCUACUUUUCGGCCAUACAUCAUCAGGAAUAUAAUAUUUUUUGCAUAACAUCUCAUCAUAACCCAAGAAAAAUAACCACAACCAUCUUCAUUUUACACCAACGAUCGGAAAUUAAAGAAAAUACUAUAUGAAUAGACGAUUUAUAAAUUAAAAUCUCUAUAUAUUUUCAAAGGAAGAUUCAGAUGCAAACACUACAUGAAAACACAUGGUGCAAACACUAUAUAAGAAACAUGAUGCAAACACUAUAUGAGAAACAUGAUGCAAACACUAUAUGAGAAACAUGAUGCAAACACUAUAUGAGAAACAUGAUGCAAACACUAUAUGAGAAACAUGAUGCAAACACUAUAUGAGAAACAUGAUGCAAACAGUCUAUCUGACCGUUGAUAUAAAACAGCUCUCGAGUGUGAUACUUGUGUCUACAUUAAAUAUGUUCAUUAAUAAACCUUGAAUAGUGGAUAAUGAAUAAUGUAUUGUCUUAUUUGAAGAACAUGACUCAGUCCACACAAUCUUUUGUUGUGUUGUGGACCAAUUGGGUUGGGUCUAAGAUUGAAAUUGAAAUUAGGGGAUGAUUCAUGGAUUGGUCAAAAGUCCUGAUCCGGUUAUAGAUCCGAAUAGAGGUAUAUCAAACCAAACGCAAGUUCACUAUUUGGAGUUUCGACCUCCUUUCCCUUUUUAAGAUUCGUUUGGUGAACUACGGUAGGGUUGAGAUGGCGGCUUUUGCGGAGGAAACAGAGGCCAAGAAUCAACUAGGGCAUAUCUCCGAAGGUGAUGCAUCUAUUGAGGAACGUGAGAGGCAGAAUCGCGAGCUUAAAGAAGGGCUUCAUCCCUUGAAGGUAAGUCGCUUUUUAUCUUCCUGUUCUUUCUUUUUCAGUUCUUACUGCCCUAGUUUUUCGACAACUUUUUUUAUUUUUUUAUUUCUACCUUUUUGUAUUUUAUGGGAUUUAUCUAUUUGGGUAUUUUGGGGGCAUUGUUUGUUAAAAAAUGUAUUAUGGAGUUUCUUUCCUCAUUGUAAAAAUUCUUUGUAUUUUUGUUUACAUUUGACGUGUUUGUAGAAUUUUUAUUUUGUAAGAGAGAGUAUGGAUAGAGAAAUUUGGCUACUUGGGAGAUUUAGGUCAAACUGUGCAUGCUAGUUUGUUAAGUUGGCUAGGCAGAUGCAGCGCUAUUGCGUCAGCUCCGACGAUCGCUGGAGAGGAUUAGAGGGAAAUUUACUGCUAAUUAAGGAAAGAAGAAAUUAACCAAAGAUUUUCUGUAUUCAUAUUUUAACUACCAUCGUUUAAAUAGCAAACAAACACACAAUGUUAGCCAUCAAUUAACACAUUAGUAAACCCAAACAGUUGUAAUUGAUUUUAAUAACCAGUAAGGCUAUUUUAGCAAUACUUAGGGAAUUAGGGAAAAUGUUUGCAACUUAGGAAACUUAGGGAAAUUACUGUAAAUGCCUUCCUUCUCCACACGACCGUACCCAUCAGAUGAUACAGUAGUCUUCGAGGUUCGCUGGAGAAUAGCGUGGUGGCUUCGGAGGGAGUUCGUCCGUAUCAGAAGAGAAGAUAAACCUAACAUAAGGUUAUGGAAAAUACUUAGUUAAGAGAAAGAUGAGAGUAUUAUGUUAUCGUCAAUUCAUGUUAAAAUGAACAUUACAAGCUUUUUCAUGCGGCGAGGCGAUGGUCAGGCUCGUAUAUGUGAGCUUUAAAAUUGUAGUAUAUAUUUUUUGAUUUCCCCCCCAAUAUAUUCCCUGUAUUUUUUAUGUAAUUCCCUGUAUAAAUUUCAUUCAAAAUAAAAUACUUAAAUUUAUAGUCUAAAAUCCAAAUUUCUAGUAGUGCUUAAAGUCUUAAACAACUUAUCAAAGAUUCAAAAUAUAUAAUGUAUUAGAUAUUAGUUAGAAGUAAAACAUCCAAUUAAUAAUUUCUAAUUCAUUUCCUUUUUUGCCACCAUCUUCGUCAUUCAAGUGUGGAUCCAUUAAAAAUGCAUCAUUAUCGUCUUCAGUAGAAGCUACCCUUGAUUUUGUUUGUUCCUAUUACUGGGUAAAUUGGUCGGGUUUAGCCGGAUCUGGAUACCCAUAAAUAGGCGCACCCUUCAAUAUGCAUGAGGGGAUUGCGCCUAAUCGCAUAUGUGCAAGUAUAGAAAAUCUUGGGACAUAAACACCUGGUUAAUUGUGAUAUUAUAAUAAUAAUAUGGACUUUCACUUUCACUUGUUCUUUUGAUCUUGAUAUUUGAAAAUUCGUGAUCAAUUUUACUUGGCAUGUAUUUCUUGAUUUUUUUAUUUCCAAAACCAAACUAGAAUUAAUGCUAGAAUUUAUGAGGAAGGGAAAGGAAUAUCACCAUGGUUUCUAACCCACCAAAUUAAAGGAAAAAGAGAAUACCAGAGUCGAAAACACUCCUUUGAAACUGUUUUUUAUUGUCGUGAAAGUGAACAUGAUUGAAUUAGUAUGGAAUUGAUGAUAAUCAUAUGGAAUUAUGGGUUCUCACUUCUCAUUUUUUUCAAGUCUAGAGAAUUGAUGUUGAGUUUUAAAAACUAGCAUCACGAGGUCACAACUUCUAUUCACAAUAAUGACAAGAUGUUGAAUUAGUAUUUUGCUGUUUUUAAGUUCACGAUGAUAGUAAAAUACAUCAUAUAAUAUAGAUUUUCACUUAUCAUUCCUUUUUUUGGAAUUUAUUUUGAAAUUUGAAAACUAGAUCCAUGAGUCAUGACUCAUGAGAUCACUUUGUUUUUCUUAAUAAUAAUUCAUGAUUUUUAAAAUAAUAAUCUUAUGCAUUGUUUAUUCUCUCAGCAUUCUUUUUAGAGUGGAUUUUGCAAUUUGAAAGCUAACCACUAGUAUCAUAAUUUCUUUCACUAACUUUUUCUCUCUGCUUGAUUUUCUUUUACCAGCAUAAGUUUGUAUUCUGGUAUACACGUCGUACACCAGGAACUAGAACACAAACACAAACAUCAUAUGAAGAUAAUAUCAAGAAGAUUAUAGAUUUCAGCACGGUAUGUUAAAUGAAAGGAAUAAAUUGUGCUAACGACUGCAUAGUGUUAUGUACGAUUUUUGUAGCAUAUGAUCUGAUAUUUCUCACAAUUUAAAGGUUGAAGCAUUUUGGGUAUGUUAUUGCCACUUGGCACACCCUUCAUCUUUGCCAAGCCCAACCGAUUUGCAUCUAUUCAAGGAUGGGAUUCGACCUUUGUGGGAGGUUUGUAGUUUUGUUAUUUAUCCUUUUAAUCAGAAUAUCACUGUAAAUACAUCUUUUAGUCAUCUAAUACAAGAUUACUUUUCAGGAUAAUGCCAAUCGUAGUGGUGGAAAGUGGAUAAUACGGUUCAAAAAGCCUAUCUCUGGUCGUUUUUGGGAGGAUCUGGUAUGCUGAAACUACUUUCCAUUGUCAGCAUGUCAACCAUGUGAUUUGCAUACAUGAAUUCUAUCUUUUCGAAAGGAGCUUGAGGUUAUGAAAUUGAUAAAUUAUUCACAUGAUAGGUACUUGCAUUAGUAGGUAAUCAACUAGAUUAUGGAGAAAAUAUUUGCGGUGCAGUCUUAAGUGUUCGGUUCAAUGAGGACAUCUUAAGUGUCUGGAACCGUAAUUCAUCUGAUCAUCAGGUUCGCCCUAUUCUAUUUUUUCACUCUUAAACAUUUCUUGCCAUCAUUCAUUCAUUCUCAUUUUUUUCACUUCAUUUAUCGUUAUCAGGCAGUGAUGGGCUUAAGAGACUCAAUAAAGAGACAUUUACAGCUUCCAAAUAGCUACAUUAUGGAAUACAAACCACACAAUGCUUCUCUUCGAGACCAUUCGUCAUAUCGGAACACAUGGCUCAGGGGUUGAAUUGUUUGCUGGAAUAUUCACCGAAUCUUCAAAAAUCCUAAACUGAAUUACCUUUCUAUGUGUUACUUUACUAUAGUUAUUCUAGGUAACUAACAUCCAUGUAUCACAAUUUUAUUUUUCUAUUGCAUUUACUCAUUGCUCGUCGAUCUUUUAUUUGGGUAAAAAAAUAAGUCAAAUCUUACACAAAUAAAUAAAUACUCUCUAAUUGUCUAAUUUCUAUAAUUCUAUACUUCGCUGUUGUUCCGGAGAUAAUGAAAGAGCAAUUAAGUCAUUCACAAUAUCAUUUAGUUGGUCUGCGUUCAGACUUGUGAUUGAAUCUUCAUCAAUCUUUUCUGCAAUGCGAGUGAGAUAGCUUUCUCCAAGUGCUUCCUUCAAGUUUAAUGUCAGUUGAUCUUCUUCAUCAUCAUCAUCUUCUGAUGAUACUCUGAGAUCCCAAACCUUGAAAAUAUUUUCAAUUGACUCAAUAUCCACCAAAAAAUCUGUUGGCACUUCAAGAUCAAGAUCAUUGUCCAUCUGUUCUGAACCUUCAAAAAUUGCAUAUUCUUCACCACGAUACCGAAUCCUUGUUGGGUCAUUAGUUUUCUCAUGGACAAAAUCAUAAUGGGCAGUAUCAUUGGUAUCCUCUUCAAUUGGAUCUAAAUCAUCUGACACUGGUAACUUGGUAGAAGAUGAUGCUUGGGAAGUAGAAUAAAUGGUCUCUUGUUUAUCAUCCAGAGAGGUGGUGUGUGUGGGGGUUUCAGCUGACAUGCUGAACAAAUUGGGGCUAUUUUCCAUGAGAGUAUCAAUCAGAAGAUUCAAACUAUCAUUGCCAACUGAAGCAUCUUCAUCAUCACAAACAAAACAUGAAUCUGCCCAUAGUGUGGCUUCUACUAGAGCUUGUGGUUCAAUAUUCUUGUUAUCAGGCCUCUCCAUAUCUCUCUCUGUGUUACAAUAAGAAACCAAUGUCAACAGCAUUCAACACAAAAAUGAAAUCACCCCAAUUCGAUUCAUUUCAAAAGAACCACAAAAAUAAGAGGCUUACCUAUUCCACAAAAUUUAGUAUUAUUGCCAACUGCCAAGUAUCAACUAUUAACAAGAAGAAUAAAGGGGAAAAUUAUAUUAGAAUCAAAGAAGAUAGAUGAAAUGAAUACAAUCAAUGCAUGCAUAAAAUUAGGAUUGCAAAAAAAAUUCAAGUUCUAGUUUGGAUUCGGUUCGUUAAUAUUCAGAUUUGGUUCGGCUCGGUUAGCUAAGAGAACCCUGUACAAACAUUUGAUAAAUUAAUAUUUUAUUAUUUUAUAUUUAUAUUUAUAUUAUAGACUAAUUUUAUAUUUUCAUAAAUCAUAUGAAAUCUUUUGUAAUUUACCUAUUAUAUUUAUAUUUUCAUAACUUAUUUAAAUAUUUUAUCAUUUACCCUUUAUUAAAUUUCAAUUAAAUUUUAAAACUAUUUGAUAAGUAGUCGGUUUAUUUUAAGAAACAAACCGAAUCUGGGAACUGAACAGUUCGGUUAACUAAACGAACCAAACCUAUUAUCCAAAUUUAGGUUCGUUUAAUUAAAAGAACCGAAGUGAAUACUUGGGUGUUCAGUUAGGCUUAAUUGACAUCCCUAGAUAUAAUCAAUCAAACAAACAAUCAUCAUCAAUCACAGAUUCUGGCACUAUCAACAGAUAAGUAUAAAAAUUGAAUACAGAGAAAAACAUAUUGAUUCAUCAUAAAAAAAUUUAAAUUAGGCAAUUAUUGCACAAAUUUAAGUACUAUGAAAUAUGAAUGAAGAGAAAGCUAUGGGUUGCAUCAUAUUCAGUCAAGAUAAGGGAAAUUAAUACAAAUAAAACCAUCAUAAACAAAAAAAACCUUGGACUUCAUAAAUUAGUAUAAACAAAAUGAGCACUAAUGAUAACAAUUAUAUCCAAAUCAAUCAAGAGAUUUGUACUGAAUAAAGACAUGGAUAAUAAAUCCAAUUUUAUAUCCGAAAUUCCAAAUACAUGGAUAAUAAUUAAUAAAUACACAUGUGUUGAAUGUUUGAUAGAAUCAUUUUAAAAAUCCUAGACUUGAAAAAUUACCAUAAAACGACCGAUGAUGAAACCCAAAAGAAAUCAUUAUCGAAAAAAAAAAGAUUGAUUCGUUACAUAGAUAGGGAUUUUGCAUCGAAAUCUAACAAAGAUCGAAACACCAUUUUCUUACAAAAAUACAAAUAGAAAGUCGAUUUCACCAUAUCAAACGGCGUAUACGUAGUAGUAGUGAAUAAACCAGAAAAGAAACCUUACCAAAUGUCGAAAACCAGUUGAAUAUGGAUUCAACGAGAAAGUAGCGGACGAACAGAUGUGGAUUUCAAAAAACCCUAAAUUUCGACUUGGCAAUGUAACAGAGAGAACUAAAUUAAAAAAAAUAAUUAUCCGGUACUCCGGUAGUUAGGACUUAGGAACAUAGGGGUGCAACCAGAAUCGAAAAUACCCAAAUCUGAUUCGAACCCAAACCUAUUGGGUGCGUGGAAAUUUGGAACCCAAUCGAUAGCUUUGAAUUUAGGAUUUUAGGUCAUACAUCUCUCCCAGCAUAAUAAAAAAAUACGGAUUAUUGGGUUGUCGGAUUUAAAUAUACGGAUUUUUGGGUUGUCGGAUCUAUAUAUAAGGAGGGAUCCGAAUGUGUUAUUAUAUGGAAGAACAAGUGAACAACGCAAUUUGGCCACGGUCACUCUUUCUCCCCCUUCCACCUUUCUCACUCCCAUUUCUCUCUCUCUCUCUCUCACUCUCUCUUUCUCUCCCUUGUAACUAACGGGAUCAAAUUGGAAGAAGCUUCGAAUCACAUCUGAUCAGGUAAUAAUUUUCGCGAUUCGUUGGAUUUCCGAUCGCAUUUCUUCCAUGUUGAUUGACUUCUACUGUAAAUGUUGGGGUUUUUCUUCAUCUGAAUUGAUUUGAUUUGUUUUUUUUGGUAAUUGACGAGAACAGAGUUUUUUUUUACGGUGUUUCGAUUUGAUCGGUGAUUUUAGCUGUUGUUUCUAGUGGCGAGAUUUAUGGUAUUGUUUAUUUCAGGUUAAUCAAUAAAGGUGGAUUUUUGAAAUAAAGCGGUGGCAAAUAACCAUGGUAAGAUGUUCUUUGCUUUGAAUUGUCUUUUUGCUGAGUUUUCUUCUUCUCUGUUUGGUACUGAAAUAGUAUAGUACAGUAGAUAUUUGUUAGAUUUGGGGUAAAUGUAGGAUUCUAUUUUUUUCUACUUGGGUUUAGGGUUUCUUCACAGCACUUAUGGCAGCAUGCAAGGAAUAUAUUUUUUAUACUUGGAUCACAUAAACUAAUGCACAUUAGUAGCAAAGAGAUAAAAAUAGAACAUUUACUAGGGAACCUUCGACAACUAAUGCACUCAUCAAGUUUUGAAAGGGAUUUGUUUUAUAACUAGGAUGCCAGUAAUGCUCUGUACUUCAUAGUUCGUAUAUUGAUAUUUAUUUGAACUGUAGGACAAUAGUGUGACAGCCAAAUGUUGGAAAAUGAAAGUUUUGUGCUUGUAUAUUGCUGUAAAUUUACUAUUUACCGUAUUAGUUACAGCCUUUUUUUUAAUAAAAUUAAUAUUCUAUUGAUAUAUAUAAUAGAAGGGCCAAAUCCAGAUACAAAUGAUAGGGAGGUAAACUAGAUAGCUUAUCAUCCUAAAUCUUAUAUCUCUCUAAUAGAAACAUUAAAUAGCUUAUGUCUGUUGAAUCAAGGUAUUGAACUCUCAGUCUAUCUUUUAAAUAGCUUAUGUCAAUUAGACCAUGGUUCAAUUAGAAGAGUCUACUAUGCAGGUUUGGGAGACCAACCUCCUGAGGCAAAGUACUUAGUUGUUAGAUCACUUAAUACAAUUUCUAUAUGAGAAAGAGUCGAUGGAUCAUUGUUAGAUAAAUAUCAGAUUAAAUUCAGACUUAUGUAAUAUAGGAGAUGUAAGGAGGUGAAGACUGCAAUUCAGCCAAGUCCGAUUAAUGCUAAAUUGUUUUAAAAAAAAUAAUGCUAAAUUAAUUGGACUGAAGUUAAUUAUUUCUUGGGAGUCUAACCCGUUAAAUAAUUAACCUACUAUUUAUAUGCUAUUUCAUGGUCUGUUAAAACUCUCUCGAUUCUUGAUUGGCACUAAUACAACUCUGUGGAUGUACACCUGUUCUUAGGGGUGGAACUGGAACCAUGCUAAUUUCUGUAUUUUUCCUUCUCUUCUUCCUUUUCUCUAGGUAGCUACUAAUCUACCAUUUGUGUGUGUGUGUCCUGAUUAGAUCAGAAUCUGAUCAGAAGAACAAUGUUCCAUUGGCAGUGUGAGUGUUGAUAACAACAGAUCUUGGGAGAUCAGAUCUAAAAGAUUAAAUCUAUGAUAACAAUCAUUCCAUCUCCCUACCAUUUCUCCUUUUUCUUUCAUAUUGUAUUUAGGGGCACUGCUCUGCAUUAUUAAUGAAAAACUUUACUUAUUGCAAAAAAAAGGUAUUGGACUCCCAAUACUUCAUCACACUAACCACAAUCUGUGAUAGAUGAGAUUUUUUGAAGACUUUAUCAUCGAAAUAAAUGUUAAUAUCUUUUAAAAUUAACUUAGAAUGAAUUUCUGGUGGCCUGAGUUUAUGUUGUUUGAAUCUUUUGUGACACACGGCAGACUAUAUUUGGAUGCUUUGAAGAAGUACUUCACCAAUCCUUAUGUCAUUCUGUAUAGCCACUAGUUUGGGAGAGUUGUUUUUUUCUCCAAAAUACGGCACUUAGAGUAUCUGUAAUGUCCAGCAGGACACUGUUAUAGUGUAAACUCAAAUGAAAAAUAAAGUCCCCAUUGUUUCCUUCUUUUCUACACAGAGUAGAUAAAAUGUUCGUGUUUGCAAAUUUCGCUGGUUGAACUUUUUGAAAAUUGAGAAAUUCCCAUCUCAUUCUCCAUAGUAUAAUGGAGAAUUUUGUAGUCAUCCUUGAAACACUGUUCUGCAGCUCUUCAUAAUGCUUCUCACAUUGCUGCAUGUUCCACCUUCGGUCCAAACUCCAAACAUUCUGUAGUUUUUUUUUAUCUCUAUAAUUGUUACAACAUACCAGAAUCUGCUGAAUUUUUGAUUUUCUGGAUAAUUGGUCUUUCACUCCUUCUAUAUGAUUGAGUCAUCCAUUUGAGGGGAUGGCUGUAUCUUCUAACUGCUGCUCCUUAACGUAUCGUUUCUUCAUCCAGUCAGUGAGAAAUAACUUUUCAAUAUUCCAUAUUCUUGCUACUCUCUUCACCGGUACAGAUCUAGCCAGAGCAAGAAAGCCCCUCGUCCCUAGGCCUUUCUUUUUCUUAGGAAUAAUCAUCUGGCUCCAAGGAGUAAACUUUCUACCAUCCCAAAUGAGAAUCGAUAGACUAUCUUUUUGAACUAGUAGUUAUUAGUUACAGGUUUGCAAUUUUUUUGAUUGUCCAUAACUUUAAAUAAAUAUCAGAAGAAAUUCAGAAUCAAUAAGAAAAACCUUUUUUAUUGUGAAUUUUAAUGAGAAACCAUCUUCGGUAAUGAAGUUUCUAUCAUGUUACAAUCGCCAUAUGUAUAUUUAUAACAAUUUUUUUUAAUGAAAUACGAGAUUUCACCCCUUCUUAGAUGUUGAAGAUUGGAAUUUUCUUUCUUUAUUGUUUAUACUCAUAUAUAAUUUUCUUUUUAUGUUUUUCAUUUUCUUACACUAUUUACAAGCCAUUACAUUUCUUCAUUACAGAAUUACAUUAUUGGAGCUUUUAAGUCACCUUACAAGAUUGGAUUCACAUUUUCUGAUGAGAAAACACGGAAGAAGGUAAGAAAUACAAAUUCUUGUUAGGAAAUUUAUGUGUUAAACAGCCAUAGGAGAAUUAUGUUUAUCGGGAGAGUGCUUAUUGAAAAUGGCAGUAAUCAAGAUUCAAGGACACCUUUCUCUCUUACAGACCAGAGGGCCAUAGGAAGAGUUGUUGUCAUCCAUUGGAGACUACUGUGCAAGUAUUUGGGAGACCAACCUUCUGAGGCAGCGUUUCUUGUUACUUUACUACUAAAAAAUAUAGCCAUAUAGGAAAGAGUUGAUGGGUUCCUACUCAUCUUUUUUUUUUGUAUCUCCAUUAUGUAUCUAGGGCACUGCUCUUUGGCUUGUUCAGUGUUUAUAUGUCCAUCUCAUACAUUUGGAUUAUGUCUAUCAUCUGGGACAUAAGCCUCUCCUUUAAAUCUGAAAAUUUCAGGAAGGAUUGCGAUUCUCAGUUGGAGAAUAACAUUGUGCACAUCUGGGAGACCAACCUUCUGAGGCUACUCAAUUAGUUAUUUUAUUUAAGUAAUAGUUGCAACAUUCUAUUAUUCUUGCCUUUUCAGCCUUCUCAGGAUUAGAGAUCAACUCUCAGAAGAGCUCAAUAAAAUUCUCUAAAAUCUGUAAAUAACGCCUUCUCCUUAUUCCUUAGAUUCCCAGUGUCCAAGUUACACAUACCCUAUCUAGGUCUACCAAUAACAGGGGAAAAGAAGACUUUCAGCCAAUGAUACAAACUCAUUCAACAAUUUCAACUAGUAGAAAAUAUGCUCUCUAGAUAGAGUAGCAAAUGUCUCACUUAUGGUGGGAGAAUUUAAUUUGUAAAUUGGAUCUUGUCAGACAAAUACACAUAGUAGGCACAAGGAAUUGCCUUACCUCCUCAGUGCAUAAAAUAUUUAAAAAUUGGCCUAUCAAUUUAUAUGGGAUGGUAGGAAAGGGGUACCUUAGUUCAAGAUGGUUCUACCAAAGGAAGAGGGAGGCCUAUGAGUAAGGAACCUAACCAUGAUUGCCAAUGCCAUCCCUUUAAAAAUAAGCAACUCAAAAUCUUUGAAAUGCUCAAUACAUGGGGGAUCCAAGUCCAAGCCACUUGCCUCCUCUGUGGGAAGAGGAUGAAUCACUUAGUCACUUAUUCUUCAAUUGCAAUUACACAAGAAUACUACUGAAACUCUCUGAAUUUCUUAACAAUGUGCCCUUUAGAAAAUAUCAAAUUCACUAGUCUCAACCCUCACACAUUCAAACAUUAGACUGGGAGAUGUAAUUGAAGCUUACCAGAAAUUGACACAUUAAUCUCCUCCACGGGGUCUCCAUUGGAACACACUAGAAGGGCUCACCUGGCACAUCUGGCUUGAAAGGAACAGAAGGCUACGCCAACACACUCUAAGGCCUCCAGACUCUCUUUCUAUUAGUGAUAUGAUAUGAUACGAUACUAAUUAGUGAUAUGAUAUAUGUUAUUGUAGUAUUAAUCAUAUCAUAUCAUAUAUAUGAUACGAUACUAAUCAUAGUUUUUCAUGCGACGCCUAGGCGUCGCAUAGGCGACCAUGCGCAUGUAGGCGUUUGCCUUCAUGCGCUGGAACGGGUUAGACGGGUCCGGGUCAGAUCUGACCCGGACCCGCCUAACCCAAUAGGUUUGUUUUAUUUUAAUUUUUUAAAAAAAAAUUAAAUAUAAGGCCCAAUCACUCAUUUAAGACCCAUUUAAAUGACUUGUCAUUUAAAUAAGAGGUUGAGGGUUUUAAAAAACCCUAACCUCUUUUCUUUCUUGUUUUUUGCACCUUUCUAACCAUAAAUUCAUAGAAGUCUUAUAAUCUAUGUAUUUAAAUUUUAAAUUUUAGAUUAAUAGGUCUAUUGCUUUGUAUUAGUAAUUUCAGGUUUUAAAAUUUAUGCAUAUAUUUUUUUAAAUGUUUCUGAAUUUACCCAUAUUUUUUAGCAAAUAUAUAUAAGUUUAGGGUAAAUUUGCAAAAUUUACCCUAUUUUCAGGCGACCGCCUAGGCGUCGCCUAAAGUGCCUAGGUGGCCAUGCGGUCAUGGCCAUCGUAUGACCGCAUGGUCGCCUAAAAAACCUUGAUACUAAUUAAUGAUAUGAUAUAUGUUAUUAUAGUAUUAAGUUGUAUGUAUAUGAUACUCAUUGGGAAUGAAAAGGCAUCGAGUAUCUCUCCCACUUAUUUACAUCUCUUAUACUUUCGAACAUGAAUUGGUUGUGGUUCGCAAAUGGAGACUACCAUGCAGAUUUGGGAGACUAACCUUCUAAGGCAAAACUCUUAGUUACUUGACUACUAACUACUAACUUACUAAGAGUACACACUUUUUUUAUCCGAGUAAAUUUGUUCAUUAAUAAAAAUGAGGGGCAAUGCCCUUGUAUAAAUUGAAGAUAAAAUAGAUGGGAAUGAGCUAGGUUCAUAGACGCUUUUUUAUUAGCAAUAACAACUAGCUGUGUAGCCUCAGGAGCAACAACCCUUUUUGAAAUCCUCAAAUCCGAAGGAGAGUCUGAUGUUCUUGAUGUGCUAAGGGUACAAGAUAUAUAGGAGAAGGUCGAUGGUGUGGGAAACUAAUCUAUCCCUCCCACCACAUUUUAUUUUCUCUUCUACUUUGUAAUUUCAGGGUAUCACCCUUCAUUAAUAUUAAUGAAAUUUUUUACUGUUUGGAAAAAAAAAUUACUAGUUGCAAGACUGUAUAGGAAAGUAUCAAGAGUCAAGGCUCAUCUCCCUAUCAUCUAUCUUUUCUUUCUCCAUUUUGUAAUCAUGGGCAUUGCCUAUCAUUAUUAUGAAUGAGAAGCUUUAAUUUUAUAAUAAAUAAAUAAAUAAAUUUGAGAGCAAUAUAUCAUUAUAAUUUUAAAUAGUGACCCAUUUUGCUCGAAAUCCUUGAAUAACUAACUAAUCCAGAAAAACUGACACACGAAAAAAAAUCUUCAUAUUUUUGCAGGUUUCUAUAAAGAAUGAAGACGGUCAAACUUCUAAGAUUCCACUUUUCCAAAGUAAAGAAACCAUUGCAGGAGAAGUAAUCUUUCUUUAUUCUUUAUGUGGAUAACUGAAUAUUUAUAAUUUUAAAGAAGCUUAUUUCUGGUUUCUGCAACUUUUCAAAUUAGAUGAAGACUAAUAUUGCUGCAUAAUAAUCUUAAUAUUACUUUGCAGGUUUCUAUUGAACCUAUUUAUGGGAAAAAAGUUGAACAUACUGGAAUCAAAAUUGAGUUCCUUGGGCAAAUAGGUAUACUUAAUCUAUCCAGAUAACUUAGAUCUUACAUCCCAUCAAGGAGUUAAAUGAUGGUUUCAUCUUUGGGUUUUAUCCCUUCGAAUUAGGAAACAUAUAGCAUGUAUAGGUAUAAACGUAUCAGUAUGUAAGUUUCUAACAUUAUAAAAUCCAUAUAAAUCUUCAAAUUUCAACUUUGAAGUAAGAUAAACCAGUAUUACUAUACAUCUAGAAAUAAUUAGAUUUAUAGUUCACCGUAUCGUAUUACUCGCAGUCUCAUAUAAUAUAAGUAUAAAUAAAGUAUAAAUUUGAAUUUUUGAAAUACCUAAUACCGUCAUAUAUUGGGUAGUCUACUAGUCUGGCUGAUAAUUCCAUUAUUUUUUAUUAUAUUAAUUUUAAAUUGCAUAUAAUUUUCUAAUAAAUAUGGUACAGAAUUUUAUUUCUGAGAAGGCAAAUAUAAUAAAAGUAUUAAUUGAUAAAUAGAUUAUACAUGUAAAUCUAGUUUAACAAAUCAAGAAUUGUAAAAAAAGUAGAAUAAUUUAAAAUUGAUCUCUGCAAAUGCUGUGUUCUCCAAAAAUACCGACAGUACUCUAAAAAGGUAAAUAUCAUGACGUAUCUCUAUUCUCUAAUAUUUCUACAUAAGCUUGAUUGAUUUUUUUUGGUGAUUUCUGACAAUGCAUUCUGGUGAUUUUUCCCCUAAAUGAUUGAUAUUUCUCUCAUAUAUAUAAUUGUAAAUGCAUUGGUCAAAUAUUUUUUAAGGGCAGUGCAUAUGAUUGUCAUUGCAAAGUCUGACUGUCUGAUAUCUAUAUCUUGCAGAGGUAUACAUUGACAAAAACACCUUCUACGAUUUCACAUCUCUUGGUGAGUUGAUAUUUAUGAACAUUUCAGAGAGUUAUGUUUUUUAUAAUUUUACUAUUAGUUAUUUUUAUGGUUUUCCAUAUUUCUGCCCUUGAGAAAAGCUCAGCUUCCUGCUUUUUAUUCAUCUUUUUUCUAUGUUUACUGUAAUAGUCAUUUAUAAAUGUAUUGUCAGCAACUCAUGACGUUGUUCACCUUGUUUCGACAAUGUUAAUCAAUCUUGUAAUUAAUUUCAAUGUUGAAUAUUUAUGAUAAAGGACCAUAAGAUUUUACGAUAAACAUGAAUAAUACAAUAAUAUUACGAUUGUAGAUAAAGCUCUUUUUUUUUGAGUGUCAGUAUUCAAUAGUUGUUCAUUAAUAUUUUUUUAUUAAUGCUUAUAUUUAAUUAUUUUGUUUCAUUCAUUUAACUGUAUUUAUAUAAGCAACUCUGCCUUUGUCUAUUUAAUUUAGAACUGAAGUAGAUUUUUUUCCAUACUAUCCAUCAACUUAUUUAUAUGCAGUUCGUGAGUUGGAUGUGCCUGGUGAAUUAUAUGACAAGAAAACAUAUCCCUUUGAGUUUUCCACUGUUGAAAUGCCAUAUGAAUCGUAUAGUGGCGUGAAUGUAAAACUUAGGUAUGCUUAGAUAUUGCAGCUUCAUUUUACAAAAUUUUAAUCUUAAAAUACAAUUUUAUUGCAUGUUUAGAAUGUAAUAACCCACAGAUUAUGUUCCUGUAGUUAGAUGCAUUUAACUAAGUAAAAUAAUUACUUCAGUUUAAACGAAAUCUAGAGAGAAUGGAAAGGAAGGAAUUAUUUAAGUUUUAAUAAUUUGAUUAGUCCAAUUAGUUAAUGUUAAUGAUUAGCCAAUUAAGAUUUAAGAAGAUUGAGUCAACUAAACUGAUAGAAUUAGUAAGAUGUCCAAGUUAACUCAUCUCUCACAACCAAACAACCUUCAUUGAAGGCAGGCUUAUCUCGGAUAAUACCAUUUUCGCAGAUGAGAUGGUUUACGGGUUUGGUAGGAGAACCCCAAAAGGUGCUGCCUGAGCAUUGAUCUCAGAAUGGCCUUUGAUACUGUCAAAUGGGAGGCUAUCAUCUCUACCCAGAAGACAUGAUUUCUCUCCACUAUUUUGCAAAAUAGUUCUGGAAUUGUAUCUCCUAUUCUCCUCUGCUACCUUCUCAGCCUUAGUUGAAGGAUCCCCCAUCUCACCACCCUUCAAAAACCACAAAGGAAUCAGGCAAGGUGAUGGUGAUGGAUAGAAAGGGAAGGAACAAGAAACUGGAUACCUACCGAGUGAAUGAAGUAAACAAUAACAAGAGUUCCUGCACUUUUUCUAAGAUCUUUGAGAAGAGUAGGAGACUGACUGAGUCUCUAGUUUUUCAUUACUUGAUACCAUAAUUAGUAGGAAUGUGUGAUCGGAUAUAAUCUCGUCACCCUAUUUUAUUUUAAUGUAGCCUCCAUAUGUACUUGGGACACUGCCCCUCAUUUCAUAAUGAAAAAAUUUAAUUGCAUCAAUUUUUUAAAUUAAUUACCAUGAUUAAUUUAAGUAAUUCCUCUAAUUCUAUUAUUGAAUUAAUGCUAGUUGGUUGGCUCAUUUGGCUCAAUCACCUUAUUACUUUUAAUCAUUCUUUAAUUAAUCAUUUAUAUAGAAGAUUCCAUUUAUAUAACUUGAUUUAAAUAAAAAAAAUCUUAUUAGCCUUUGCUCGAGUCAACUGUAUUUGGCACAAUCUUCUUAAUUGAUUAAAAUCAUUAACAUUGACUAAUUGACUAAAUUUCCAUCCCCUCCAGGUUUCUUUUUAACUGAAGUAAUUAUUUUACUUGUUAAAUGCAUCUAACUGUGUGAACUUAUUUCAUGGAUUAUUAGAUUCUCCUCACUUAAAAAAAAUCAUCUUCAAAAAUACCUUAGAGUAUUUACCGAAAAGUUCUGAUAGUUUUUCUGUAUUUUACAAUCUAAAUUCCAAUGUUGCCUCGCCGGGUCUGUGGUAUUUUUCCAUUGGAUUUUCACAAUGGAGAUCGUCCUUCCUAGGAGAUUAGCAAAUCGAUAUCCAUUUCUGAAUGAUGGCUGUGUUUUCUGUCCAAUAUAAGGGUAAUUCACAUGGUCAUUCAUAGAGUUCCUCAAAUGGUGUCAUUCAUAUGUUUGCUUAUGGUAGCUGUUGUUGUAAGUAAAUUAUGCCUGCUGUAGUUAUUUCUCCCAACCUCCCUUGAAAUUUAUAGCACAGACUCGUAACAAACUAACAAUAUCCUUCAAUAUUUGGAUUUUCCUUUCAGUCUAGGGGAGGAAGGUGGUACUUAGUUUGAGUUUUGAGCCCAUGGCUUCCUGGAAGUUUUCCCAGAAACAUGGGAUAAAUCUUGGAUCUCUGUUCGAGAUGAUGGAUAUUGGAACCCCAUGCAACCUUACGAUCUCUUUCAUGUAUUUCGUCACCAUUUCUUCUAGCAUGUAUCCUACGUGAUAUGGAAUGAAGUGAGAUGUCUUGGUCAGCCUUGGCAAGUCUGUCUACCACUACCUAAAUAGAGUCAUUUUUCUUCUUGCUUUUGAUAAGUCUACUAUGAAGUCCAUGGUUAUAUGUUUCCACUUCCAUUUCGGCGAUUCUAUUAGCUGCAUUAAUCCUAUGCUCCACCUUUACCUAUUGGCGCACUAUACAAUCUGUCCACAUGCUUAGUUAUCCCUCUUUUCAUGUCUCUCCAGUCUCCACCAAAAGUCAUGGUGGGUAGUGUUAUAAAUCUCUAUGCUUUCCAAGUGGUUGUUGUAGAUGGAGCGUUGUGCUACUUCCAAGAUUUCAUUCCUGAUUUCAGGGACUGGAGGUACCCAUAAUUUUCCCAAUAAUCAAACUCCCUCUUUCUCCAUGUAUGUUAUGUUUUUGUCUAUACCUGAGGUUGCCCAAAGCUAUUGAGAAAAUAAACUGCAUUGGAUAUAAAUUUUGUAAAAUAAUCACAUUUAAAAUAUUUUUGGAAUUUGCAGGUACAUUUUAAAAUUAACAAUUAGUCGCCCUUACAUAAACAACAUUGUGGAGCUCCAGGAGAUUUGGGUAAAAUAUGUUAAUACUUCUACAGAUCUACUGUACUUUCAUUUUUUAGCUCAAGUUAGUAAAUUGCACAUGAUUGGAAUUGAAAAUUACAAAUUUACAACCAUUGCAAAAUAUAAAAUUACAAAUCAAUAUAUAUUUUUAUUGACUUUCUCUAUCUGACAAGGUUAAGUAGAACGAAUAUACUAUUAUAAGUUUUUGAAAUUAUUUUUGCAUACUUAUGCAUGUAUUCUUUUCUAGGUCUGCUUUCUUAACUGUUCAAAUGACAAAGGCUAAAUAUAAAUUAGUAAUAUCGAUGGUUUAUUUUUUACUUUGCCGCUAUGUGGAAUUACUGCUUUUUUUAUUGAUAGUCUGUAGUUAAUGGGUCAUUCCUUCCAAAGAUAUGAUUGUGUAAAUAUAAGAACACAAAAGUAAAUAAUGGGAGAGAUGACUCAAUCCCUUUUCCAUUAGCUAUUGGUAGUAUUAUAUACACAAUUAGAAUAACCAAUUCAGUUAUUCUUGUUUUAUCUCUGUACCAGGUCCGCAACUAUACUGAAUUACCAACCAUUAACAACAGCAUUAAGGUUUGUGAACAUUACCAGCUGCAUAUGCUGUUUUGACUUUGAAUAUAAGAGUUUAUGGUGUUUGUUCUGCAGAUGGAAGUUGGAAUUGAAGACUGCCUUCACAUUGAAUUUGAGUACAACAAAAGCAAGUGAGUUCCGUUUGCACAAUCAACUGUGCAUUACAGUUCUCGUUAUGUAAUAUAACAAUUAAUGAAAUUCACAUAUUUUACAAUGCAAAAAUGAACCUGUAGGUAUCAUUUGCAGGAUGUGAUCAUCGGCAAGAUAUACUUUCUUCUGGUCAGAAUCAAAAUAAAAAACAUGGAGCUUGAGAUUAGACGUCGUGAGGCAAUUGGAUCCGGUUCGAACACCUUAGUUCUGACACAAACCCUUGCAACAUUUGAGUUGAUGGAUGGCGCCCCAGUCCGAGGUUGAUAGAUAAUAAAAUAUGGAUGUGUUUGCUUUCUGUCUAACCAAAUCUUUACAAGUUAAAAUUAUUUUUUUACAGGUGAGUCAAUCCCAAUCAGACUGUUUCUCAGCCCCUAUGAACUGACACCCACACAUCGAAACAUAAACAAUAAAUUCAAUGUGAAGUACUACUUAAACCUUGUUCUCGUCGAUGAAGAAGAUAGACGUUAUUUCAAGCAGCAAGAAGUCACAUUUUACCGCCUUCUCGAAGAUUCUCAAGAGUCUAACCCUACUACUGAGCAAACAUUUUAAAUAAUAAUCUAAAUUCCAAAAUUUCGAAACCUUUAAAUCCUGCAGAAUGCACCAACUCAUCAUUUAAAAGUUAGAAUUUCUUUUUGCUUAGAUUUCUCUUAGUUUUACAAAGAACUCUACUUUUAAAAAUAUGUUUUUUACAACAGUUUUUUUUUGUUCUUGUUGAAUCUGUAGAUUGUGUGGAAAGCAAGAAACCCAUAAAACUCACUUUAUUGUAUGCACUAGCACCACCACCAUGUGAUGAAGGAAUUUGCAUCAUCUUUUCAGCAUUGUUUUAUUAAUCUGGAUAGAUGGAAGAUUGUUUGGAAAGCAAAAUAAAUUGUGGAAAAUCUUUAUUUAACUUUUGCCCAUCUUCAAACUUUGUUACCAUUUAAUUGAUGAUCUCCCUCAUCUUUCUUUACUCUGUCUGAUACCAUGUGAUUUUUAUUUCUUUUUGUGCAUGAUGAUUUGCUCUCAUAUCAUGAUAUUACACUCACUAGUCACUAAAUGUCUUUCGAUACAAAUUUUCAAAGUGCAAAAAAAUCACAAGGAUAAGGGUGCAUGUGCAUAAAAAAUACCCCCACAUAAGGAUAACCGGAGGGUCCGGCCAAAACAUCCACAGCAGGUGCAAUAAGCUGAAGAGUCAGUCAGGCAGGCAGCAUUGAAUGAAAAAUCUCUUAAAUCUCUCCCCUCCCUUCCUUCGACAUGUCUGUAAUCUGCAAAAUCUAUUUUAAAGAAUUUUUGGGUCUUCUCAUUUGAUCAGCGCAAAUCCUUUUCUCAGACAUUAUAACUCCGAUGUUCCGUAAAAAAUGGCAAAGAAGUCUGCAUUUCUUGUUCUUAUUUUUUCUCACAACAUUAUCAGCAGGUAUGUGAAUUUAUUUCUAGGGUUGAUCUUGAUGAGAAUAUGGAUCUUGUUCUUAUAAUAUUUUUUCCCCUUCCGUCCACCUAUCCAAAAAAUCAGAUGCAUUUAUUGGAGUGAAUAUCAGGACUGGUAUCACAAGAUCACCAUCGGUCUCUGAUACCAUGUCCCUUCUUGAAGCUCGAAAUAUCACCCACAUUCGGUUGUUCGACCCUGAUCAUAAUAUUCUUACCGCUUUGGCAAACACUGGUAUUCAAGUCAUUGUUGGAGUUCCAAAUGAUCAGAUUCCAUUUAUUGGAAAAUCUCGAUUCAGAGCUGCAAAUUGGAUCAAACAAAAUAUCGCAAUCUUCAUUCCUGCAACUAACAUCACACACAUUGCAGUGGGUAACGAGAUUCUCACCAUGAUACCAAACGCCACGCUUGUUUUACUCCAUGCUAUGAAAUUCCUCCAUUAUGGUCUUGUUUCGGCUAAUCUUAACUUUCAGGUGAAAAUAUCAACUCCACAAUCUACCACUGACUUGAUCUCUGAUAUAUUUCCUCCAUCAACUGCCUUCUUCAAUUCAUCUUGGAAUCACAUCACACGAAAAUUACUUAGGUUUAUGAAGAACACAAAUUCUCCAUUCAUGUUGAAUGUUCAUCCUUAUUAUGAGUAUACACGAAGCAAUGGUAUUUUCCCAUUGGAGUAUGCGAUUUUCGAGCCACUUGCUCUAGGUAAAAGGGUAGUCGAUCCAAACACGAAUAUACUCUAUGAAAACAUGUUUGUGGCCAUGGUUGAUGCUGUCUAUUACUCUAUGUGUGCACUUAAAUUUUGUGAAAUUCCCAUUCUUGUCACCGAAACCGGUUGGCCCUGGGCUAGUGACACAGAUGAUUCGGCUGCCACAAUUAACAAUGCAUUGAGGUAUAACACCAAUCUUAUCCUUCGUGUUCUAAACAACAUAGGGACGCCAAUCCGUCCUGAGAACCCUGUCAAUGCAUAUAUCUAUGAACUUUUCAACAAAGAUCAACGAUUCGAAACAGUCUCCAAAAAGAGUUGGGGGAUUUUCUUUCCUAACGGAACAUCGGUGUAUGAUUUAAAUUUUAUAAAGCUGGAUGGGUAUAGAGGAAACUCAUCAGAGGUAGAUGGGUUGUUUUGUAUCGCAUAUCCAAGCAUUGGAGCUAAAACACUUGCGGCAGGUUUGAAUUGGGCUUGUGAUUCUGGUGGUGCUAAUUGUGACGCGAUUCAACCAGGAAAACCUUGCUAUCAGGAGGACUUGGUUGCCCUGGCUUCUUAUGCUUAUAAUGAUUACUAUCAUAGAACUCGGGCUUCUGGUGGAACUUGUAGUUUUGGUGAUACAGCUUUUCUUACUAAUAAGGAUCCAAGUAAGUGAAAUUUGAUUUUUUUCCCUUCCAUUUUUCGCGAUUUCCGUAAUUCUAAUUAAAUUCUCAAACAGUAAGUAACACUUAACCUUAAACCCUGAAUAAACCACAUGAUUUUUUCUAUUUUUGCAACUUAUAUCAUUCUAAAUUAAUCUUAGGUAGCAAAACAGAUAAAUUGCAUUAUAUAACAAAGAAAAUCCCAAAAUAUGAGCAAUAAUAAGUUCAUUGAUUUCUCUUUUAAUCUAACAGAACCUUAAAUCUGUUUUUCAUGUUGUAGGUCAUGGAUUAUGUAUUUUUGCAGGAAGGUAAAUCAAUUAUUGAUUUUCUAACCUCAACUGUUAGUUCUCUAUAUGAUUUUCUAAUCUGUUAUUUCUUUCUUCAACAGCACGCUAUCAAACACAACUAAUAGUACAUUACAUACUAUCGCUGUCGAACCUAAAAGUUCUGGAAUAAAUAGCGUUUUGAUUCUUAAUGGUAGUCGAAUGAUCGUUUAUAUAGCAAUUGUAGGAAUUUUGCUUGCCAUGGUUUAAAUCUCAACCAUCCACACAAUUUUGUAAUUAAUUUGUAUAUUGAAAUGAGCAUGUUCUAGAUUUUUGCUAAUUAAUAUUAGUUUAAGCCAAUCUCUCUUAAUCUUUAGAAAAACCUUAUUUGAAUCGAGUUCUUUGUUUAUUACCAGGAGAAAAAAGCCGUGUGAUAUAUCAUCGCGGAAAAAUAUCAAAUAAAACCUGAAUUUUAAUUUGUUACCAAUCCAGUCAAUCCCUCACAUUACUUCUUGAUUACUUACAUGCUCAUCCCAUUCAAUUUAACAACUUCUAAUAAUGCAUAUAACCCAAAUGACCCACACCCAUUUUAAAAGCUAAAGUUGAUAAUCCAAAGAGAGAUUAAUCAUGGAUAUAAGCAGACAGACAUAAGUAGACAACUAAGGCAAGUACCUAUCAAUGAAUGAUUAAUUAAAUUUUAGGUAAAUGUCUUUUUCAUCUUUUAAAUUUUAGGUGAAUGGAGGGUACAUCUCUACAGAUGUAAAGUUGUCAACUUUCAGAUGAUAUAUCAGAGUCACAUAGUAUAUUGUCGGAUAAAUUUAAGUGAAAAUAUACAAAGUAAUAUUCGAAUCUUGGACCAGUAAGCCAACCUUACUUUGUAAGUCUUCCUUCCACACUUCCACCAUUAUAUCAUAAUCCAUCAAAUAAAUGAAAGUAGGUAAUUAUCUAAUUAUUUAUGCAUCCAAUAACAACAAAACAAUUGGCUACAUUAAUGAUUAGCGUCGGUCAAAAUAGUUCAGUCUAUUGAUUAGCCACCCACCAAUUUUUUCGUUUUCUAUUGCCUUGGAUUUUAAUUCAUAAUCAAAUAUGGUAUGAUCCUUCAAAUUUUAAUUACAUUUUCCAUAUCAUUAAAAAAAAUUGGUAUCAGAGUUCACCUAAUAUAUCAUUCUAAAUUAAACUCAUCAAUAUAUAUAUAUAUAUGGUUCGAAAAAAUACUUUUCACUCUUUGUAAAUGAUUGCUAAGUCUGUUAAAUAUGUCGCUUCAAAGGUAAUCAAAGGAGAAAGUGAAUCACUUCAUGCAUCAAAAUUUAUGUAAAGGAAGAAGAAUUGAAGAACAAGUUAUCCUUAGUAUCAUUAGUCUUAAUUUAAUUAGUUUGAUUAGGUUUGGAUGAGAUAGACAUAAAUGAUCUUAUGAAUUCUCUCAUCAAUCAAACAUUAAUUCAAAUGAUCAAGUAACUAUUAAGGUUUAAUUCUGAUAUAUAAUUCAAAAUUCGAGUCUCGUUGUGUACUUAUAUAUUAUCUGGAAGUAGAUCCUGAGUGAUUAAAAAAAGAGAUCAAAUUAAUUAGGUCACAUUGCCACUGAGAUAGGACCAUAUGAUAUUCCUUCACUCUUUUCCUACCACAUGGAGUGUUGUCUCUAAUUUAGUAAUAGCAGCAGAGUAGUAGUAGAAGAAGAAGAAGAACAACAACAAUAAGAAGGAGGAGAAGUGACCGGCAGAAACUAGAGAUCGGAGAUGGGACAGCUUGCACCAAUAAAAGAGGAACCAGUAGAUGAGGAAGAUGGAGCAAAGAAGAUGAAAAGAUUAUCAACAAUAAAGAAGAAAAUGGCAUGGACAAAAUGGCAAUGGAUAAAAACACGUCUAUCACUAAUCUCAUCACCUAAGAAACCCAACAACAUCAAGAUACUUCUAAGUGUUCUUGGAUGUCCACUCUCCCCAAUCUCAACUCCUCACCCUUCUUCUUCAUCUUCUUUACUCGUCCCGUUAAAAGUACGUCAACCAAUAUCUAUCUAUCUAUCUGUUUGUAUAUGAAUAUGUAAUGUUAACUCCGGCGUUCGAUCUGGUGGUGGCAAUUUCAGGGGAUAUCAUCAAAGGCUCAGUACAUAAUUCAGCAAUUCCGAGGAGUGACUCAGAUGGGUAAGUCAUUGAAGAGCCUGUAUGCGUCGGGGAACGUGGAGGUGUCUAUGGUGAAGACUGCGGAGGAAACAGAGGAGGAGGAGGAUCAAAGGUGGAUGAGUGAGAGAGGGAGGUUUGUGGUUUGGGAGAUGGAUCCUGGUAUGUGGUUGAUUGAGCUUGUUGUUUCUGGAUGGAAGAUUGUGGCUGGAAGUGAUGGAAAUACUGCGUGGAGAAAUACACCGUGGAUUGGUACUCAUGCUGCUCCCGGCGGUGUUAGACCUCUCCGACGAGCUCUUCAGGUGAAUCGAAUCGAAUCUCUUUUAUUUUAUUUUUGCUCUUGGAGGUUUUCUCACGUUAUGAUUAUCUUCUUUGCUUGUUUUUGCAGUUGUUUACUUUUUCUUAUUUAUUUAUUUAAAUGAUUCUUUAUUUGAUUUUAUUAAUUUAAGAUUUAAAAAAUAAGAGAAUGAUGAGAUGUGAUCGAGUGAUGUUAGUCUGAAAAUGGCUGGAUCGCACAGAUCGCAUGAGUUAAGAAUUAAUUUCAAUUUAAAAUAAACUUAAAUUCUAUCAUCUAAUUUUUCAUCUUUUAAAUCCUAAGGAUUUUUCAUAAUAUAUAUUCAAGUAGGGUGUCAAAAAGUCAGUUGAGUUUUUGCUUAUAGAGUCGGGUUCGAACUCGGAUCAUUAAAGAAUUAUACAGUCGGCUCGUUAAAAAAAAAUUUCAAGCACAAGCUCGGCAGAUUCGGGCUCAAGCUCGCGAGCUCAGGCUCGACUCGAGCUCAGCUUAUCGAAAAAUAUUUAUAUAUGUUAUAUAUUUUUUUUUUUAGAUUUAAAUUUUUAUUUAAGUUUCCUUAUAAUUUAUUCAAUAGUCCUUAUCAAUUAAUAUCUAUAUUUUAUUUAAUUUUUAAAAAUCUUUUAACAAGCUCCUUGGGCUCAUAAGUUCGAGCAUAACGAGCAGACCCCAAACAAGUCAGUCGAGUCAAACUUUAGUUGACACUUUAUAUUUAAGCAAAAUAUGCAUAACUAAUUGAUAAUAAUAUACAACUAAUGUGAAUUCAACAACCAAGAACAAACUCAUAUAACCAUGUUCUAGCUAACAUGCUCAGUCAAAUUAGAUUAACUAAAGAAGCACACUGUGUGUGUGGACUUAAUAUUGUUUUUCUAAUGCCAUUAUUUUUUUCAAUUAUUCAUCCAAACUUUUCAAAUUCAAUCAAAUAAUAAUAUAGAACAACAUAAACAUUGUUUUCAACAUUUCAUAAUAGUAGAUUCAGAUUCUCACUUAUAAUUAGAUAUCAAGUUUUCUUUUAUAAACAAAAUAUUUCUCAUUCCUUUCUUACAAACAUUGUUUUUUUUCCACUUGAAUUAGGGAUUGAAUCCUUCAACCAUAACAUCUGUAUUCUCAACAUCACAAUACAUGGGUGAGAAAGAAAUGGAUGGUCAAGAUUGCUUCGUCUUACUAUUAGAAGCUGAUCAACCUACAUUACUUGCAAGAAGCGACCACGCGGCAAAGAUCAUCAAGCACAUAAUGAUAGGUUAUUUUAGCCAAACCACUGGACUCUUGGUACAUUUAGAUGAUCUCCAAUUGACUCGAAUUCAAGUCUCAGCAAGUGUUCAACCCAUAUUUUGGGAAACCACCAUAAACUCCCAAAUCAGAGACUACAAACCAGUAGAACAUGGCAUAUUGGUCGCACACUCUGGUAGAUCGAUUGUCCGUUUGGCUAAGAUUCAACAAGGAAUUGAAAAACAACACCAAGAGACAACAACCAUGGAAGAAGAGUGGACCAUACACGACAUCGCAUUUGACAUCCCAGGUCUCUCUAGCGACUAUUUCAUCCCACCAGAAGAAGUUGCCAAAUAAACAUCUUAGAAACCAAAAUAAUUUUCUCACGUAAUAAGUUAUGAUCAUAUACACUAACUACUAUGUGAACUUUAAUAUAAGAAAAAUAAGAGAGAUAAUAAUUUAUAAUCUUGUAUAAUAUCAAAUCACAUUUAAACAACAGAAAAGUUCGUCUAGUAACUUUUGUUAUGAAUAAAAAAUCCAUUCCCAAUGAGCAGUAUCAUAUAAUCUCUGCAACCAAUAUUGAUUAAGAAAGACAAUGAAGCACUAACAUUUUAAACCUACACAAUGGGAAACUGAAACUUUCAAAACAUGAGGGUUACAUUUCAUCAUACACAAUAACCAACAAUUACCAAGUAAAUUUAGGGUGUAAAGAAUAUGUUGAGUUGAAAUCAAAAUCCAACCACCUAAGACUCAUCACUCCACACAUAUUCUACAACCCCAGCUACCAUCACAGCCGCAACAAAAAUCAAACAAAAAGAGAACAAAUGAUGAAAACUGGAAAAAAAGAAAGAAGCAAAAAAAACACCUUUCUACUCCUCCCACCUCUUUUCCUUUUACUCCCCCCUCUCACAAAACAUACCUUUCCCCUCACAUGCAUAGGAAAAUGUAAUCUUAAAACUCUACCAAGAGUAUUACACCUAAGCACAAAAGACCGGGAAAGGAAAACACUUAACAAAAAAUAUAACUUGCAGAAUCAUAAAUAUUGUACUAAUGUAGUACUCAAUUAAGUAAAUGGAUUAGUUAGUCCCAUGCACUUUGGCCACCAAAUCCACCGCCACUAUACCCACCACCACCUCCUCCACCAUAACCACCUCCAUAAUUGCCACCACCUCCAUAGUGGUCACCACCUCCACUACGGUUGCUGUCCCUGCGGAAAUCACGACCACCAAAACGACCACCAGACCUACGAUUUUUACCACCACUGAAUACACGGGUGUUAGCAAAGCGAGUAAGCCAAGUAGGAACUUCCUGGUUUGACUCCUGCAUCAAUUCUAAAAGAGGCUUUGCCAUGGAGGUGUUGUUGUCAGUGAAGAAUGCGGUAGCCAUACCACUCUUACCAGCUCUCCCAGUUCUACCAAUCCGAUGAACAUAAUCAUCGAUAUCAUUAGGAAGGUCGAAGUUCACCACAUGGGCCACAUGAGGAAUGUCAAGCCCACGUGCAGCAACAUCUGUGGCAACCAUGAUUGGAGUUUUACCGGAUUUAAAAGACCUAAGUGCAUGCUCACGUUCCUGUAAAUAAAUUUAUGUAAGAAAAAAUAAUUAAGACUUGAGAGGGUAAUUGUUUUAAUAAUAAUAAAAAAGAACUAAAAAGAAAAAAAAAACAGUGUUAAUGUUAUAUAUAUGAUAAAAUUAUUCAAGGAAAAUACAUUUUACAUUACCUGCUGGGAUCUAUCACCAUGAAUUGUAGUUGCAGGAAACCCAUUCUUGCACAACCAACCUUCCAAGGAAUCAGCUCCCCUUUUGGUCUCCACAAAUACUAAGGUCAGAGCUUGCUGAAAUAUGAAAAGGAAUUAAAGAAAAUGUUGCAGUUGUGGUAGUAUUUAAAACCUAAAAUCACCAAAGGUUCCAAAAUAAGAUAAGACUCACAGCAACAAGAAAAUAUGAGAAAACGAAACUAGUUAGUAAUUACCUACCUUUCCAUGAUUACCAUUUUCUCUUUGAGCAUGAAUAAGAUCCAUCAGGUGACUCCUUUUUUCACCCUCUGGAACAAACUCGACCCUCUGAGCAAUCAGAUCAGUACUAGAACCAACCCUGCCAACAGCAAGGAAAAUAUAGCUUGAAAGAAAAUCUGAAGCCAGUCUCUGCAUUUCAGAACAAAAAAGUCAUUCAGGCAUGAAAUGUUAAAAAUAAAAUCAUGGAUGAGAUAAAAAUACCAAGCCACGCAUUCAUAUUGCAUUCAAAAAGCAUGCAAAAAAAAUCACGUUAAUAACAAAAAACUAUUUUGUUUACUAUAAUAAUAUAUAACCCCUCCGGAAAGAUAACAGUGGCACUGACAAAACAGUUAGACUUAACAUCAUAUAGUACAGUUUUCUAGACAGAAACAAGUUAAUAACCAACAGUAGAAAAAUUGACCGCUAAACGGUCAUCUAGAUAAGUUGAUAGGAUUGCUUCAACUGGUUUGAUUAAUUUCCGGCACUGCAAAUAGAUAUGUAAUGGGGAAUUGUCACUGAGAAUUCCAAAAAGUUGUACAGUGAGGUGUCCUCCUCACAUACCUUAGAGAACGUGGAGGAGCUCUCAGUGGUAUUAACCUCAAGGCACACGUUUACCUUAGAGAAAGUGAAGGAGCUCUUAGUGGUAUUAACCUCUAGACUUGCGUUAAAGAUCUUACGCAUGAGGGCAUUGAAAGGUAAUUUCGAUUUAAAUAUAAAAUUAAAUCGAAAUUCAUAAUUAUAACAUUAAAUUUUCUACAUUUUAUAGAUUUCUCACAUACAGAGAACCAAAAACGGAAGAAAAAUUACAGAUUACAUCUUUCCUUGCCCUGCACAGCAUAAAUGAAGGCAAGGAAAAAUUGAGGAAGUUUAAUUGGUCCACGUGAGUGAGGGUUAAGAGAUAAUCAAACUUGUUUAGGUGUUGCGGAUAUGGUAACCAAAACUCGUUUUUAUUGUCACUAUAAGAUCUCAUAAAAGCAUCAGAAGUUCAGAAUCAAUCAUGAAAGUAAUUAGAAAUUUAGAAUUAUGAAGUCUUACGUGAAAAUCAUCAAACAAAAAAAGAUCAUCAGCAUGAGAUAAGACAGUGCUUGAAAAAAACUAACCCUGACCCUACAUUUUCCCUCCACCAGAGACUGCAAGAAAUGGUCACUAAAAAACUAAACUUCAUAUGGGGUUGGCAUAUUCUGGAGCUUCCAGAAUGCAUGAUUGAGAGUCUCAGCUAGUGGGAGAAGGACAGAUCAAGAUUUAGGGAUUCAACCACCAUAGCAUAAGAAUUUUGGAGAUCCACUAGGUCCCAACCCCAAACUCUGAAUUUGGGUAAGGUCAAACAAAGUCCAUACCCAACCCAAACUCAUCCCUAGAUCAUGGUAAACUCAAGUACUUCAACCACCUUGGCAUUGCUAAAAUCCUUUCGAUCAAAUACCAAAGCCACAACAACCUUCUACAAACCUUCCACCAACAUAGUUUGGUCUGCUAAUAUGAGUUCUUUAGUGUGGUACCCCAACUCUAGGGCUACCUUAAUACAUCAAAAAUGACACUGGCAAUAUUAAAAAAAACUAGGAAAGCCAGAUGUUGAUAAAAUCAAUAUAAUAUAAAACCAGGAAUGUCAGAUUCAUGAGAUUUACAAGGAAAAGAUAAUAUAUACAUAAGAUUUAGGAAAAGGAUUAUUACUUGAAUUUCCUUGGGAAAAGUAGCACUGAAAAGCAUCGUCUGUCUCACCCCAGGGGGAGGCAUAUCCAUUUGUUGUACGAUUUUACGAAUCUGUGGCUCAAAUCCCAUAUCAAGCAUUCUAUCUGCCUCAUCCAGGGCAAGAUACCUUAUCAUCUGUAAUGAUACUCUAGCUCUUUCAAGCAAAUCAACCAAACGACCAGGAGUAGCAACAAGAAUCUCAACACCUCUUUCCAAAUCACGCAACUAACAUAUCCAUCAACAAUAAAAAAAGAAUAAUAAUCAGAAUUCAGAACUCUGAAAAAAACACAAUAUCUUAAGAUUUUCAAAGGAUGUUUGCAUUCCACUAGAAUAUUUUAAGAUUUUCUAAUUGACGUAAAAACAUGAAAUGAAAAACAAAUAAAAAAUCUAAUGGCAUCAUCAAAGACUUGUAAAGAAAAAAUGUUGAAAAUGGAAACCUGAUUGGUAAUAGGAGCACCUCCAUACGCAACAACCACCCGCACACCAGUUUUGUAUGAAAAUUUCUUGGUCUCCUCGUGAAUCUUAGAAAAAACAAGAAUCUUUAGACUUGUUUACCAAAAAGUUGAAAGGAAAAAAAACCCUGAUACAAUGAAAUAUAACAUUCUAACCUAAUAACAUUUCCGAAAUCUUACUUGGCAUGAAAGCUCACGGGUAGGAGACAAAAUAAGUGCAAGUGGAUAAGCUGUUCGCACUCCUCUCCGUAUUGAGACAGGUUGACCCUUCAUAAUACCAGCUAUAAUCGGGAAACAGAAAGCAGCUGUUUUCCCAGACCCCGUCUGAGCACAAGCCAUCAGAUCUCUUCCAUCAAGAGAAAUAGGAAUAGCAUGCUUCUGCACAGGUGUAGGCUUCACAUAUUUACACCUCCGAAUGUUAUCAUUCAAAGCAUCCCCAAGAUCGAUCUCCGCAAAGCUGUUGACGGCAGCUGGCACAUUGUGACCACUAGUCUCGACGGGAAUAUCCUCAUAAGCAUCAAAAUUGAUACCGGUGUUUUCCUCUUCAAACUCUGGCUCAGGGUCAUCAUUUGCAAAAGGAUUAACUUCUCUAUCCCUCCCACGGUCCCAACCACCACUUCUAUUAUUCCAACCACCACCUCCACUCCCACUCCCACGUCCACCCCCACCACUGUAGUAGGAAUUCCCUGAAUCCCUCCCAGGUCCUCCACCCCAGCGACCUAUACCCUGUUGAACCGGGGGGUUUCCAAAGAGUGAUUGUUUUGGACCACCCGAAGGAGCACCAGUAAACACUCCAGAUACCACAGAGCUGUCCGACGGAGGACUUUUUCGAAGAUGUGGCGGAACAUAUGAAGAUCGAGGUAGACGAAUAGGAGCAGUAACAGACACAGUGUCAGGAGCAGAAGAAGUAACAGAAGCAGGAGGAUCACUUAACUUCUCCUCAGAAUUGACAGAAUCAGCCCAUGAAGUUCGCAUAACUAUAACUAUCCACAAUCAAGAACCACAGACCAACAAACAAAACAAAAACAAAAAAGAUAACGUGAGCCGAAUCAAAAUCUAAAUGAAAUUCAAAAUAAAUAAAUAAAAAAACAAGAAACAAGAAAAAAUUACCGUAAAGCAGAAAUCCAGACGGAAACAAAGCUUCAUCCAACAGAACCUACAAACCACCUGCGAAUGAAACACCAUAGAAUUAGCAAAACGGAAACAAAAACCCCUGAAUCCCGGGAUCCGAUCUUGGCGUACAAGAUGAAGGGCGACGACCUACCUUCGGAACAAGAAACCCUAGAACCGAAAAAAAAAAGAAGAUGGUAGAAAUAUAAUUAAAUGAUAGAUGUGAACGGUGUGUGAAUAGAUGGAUGAUAUGAAAAAAAUACAGUGAUGAAGGGGAUUUAUAUAAUAUCGAUAAAUUCUAGUUCGAAUCAUUUAACUGAAACAUAGGAAAGCAAUCUCAACCGUCUAUUUCCAAUCUAAAAAUUUGAAUAUACUUCAAUGAAUCUUGGUAGCUCAAUUGGUCCAAAUAAUUAUUAAAUUUUCUAACGAUUCAAGGUUCGAAUCUUACUUUGUAAUCGAAUUUUUUACUUUUGACUUUGAUAAUUACUAAUAGAAAUAUUAUUUUCAGGUGUCAUUAGUGAUAAUUAGAGUAAUUCUUAUAUAUUUUGUAAGUUUAUUAGUUUAAGUCAGUUGAUCAUAAUUCAUAAGUACACUGAUUAUUAUCAUUCUAUAAAUAGAGUACCCUAUGUAAUUAACUACAAUUUAUUCAUAAUAAAAUAUGCUAAUGAUUAAUUAUAAUUUUUAUUAAUUCAUUAGUGACAAUUAAUUGUGUAUUUCUAGGAUUAGGUGUUAUAAUUGUAUUAUAUUUCAUUAUAAAUGUUAGAUGAUGUCUUUCAUUUAUUAAAAAGAUAAUUUUUAAUCAUCACAAUUUCGAGAAAAAUGAAAAGUUUAAAUCAUUAUAAUACAAUUAUAACAUUCAGAAGUUGGUCUUAGUAUUAUAAAUCUUGUUAUAUUUAAUGUAUCAUCUUAAUUAAAAUGAAGGAAUGCAAUCAUUUUGAUUUAAUCAUUUAAUAUUUCAAAAUCACCCUCAACAACUUUGAUUUUUUAAAAUUAAAUCACAUAAACUAUUAAAAUUGUUGAAGUAUCGAUGUUUUAGUCUCUUAUUCUCUUUAAAUUUCAUUCUGGAUUCCUUUUCUCACACAAUCUUAUCAGCAUUUAGGAAUCGAUUCUCAAAAUAUCGAACAAAAUGGAUAAUGGUUGAUAUUCCCCUCUUGCAAAGUUGCAAUCAGAAAGGGGUGGUUGGUUUUCUUUUAUUUGCAGUGCUUGAAAAGUGCAAGUAGACAUGUGUAGACGACACAAGUAGGAUGCAUUAUUAUUUUAUCUUUCAUUGUGUAAUGUAUAUGUAGAAAGCGAUUCAGGUGAGAUUUCAAAAAUAAGAUAUCUCAUAAGGUAUUAAUUUUAAAUAAAAUAAAUUAUAUCUCGAAAUCGUACCUUAAUUUAUUUUAAAAUAGAUCAUAUCACUUUUAGAUUUUAUUGUAUCUAACUUUUGAGAUUGUGUUAUUUUUGUGUGUUUAUGGCAAAUGUCGUAAACUAUUUAUAUAAAAAAAUUAUUAUUCUGAAACGACUUUUGUACCUUUUUCCAUCAUUGCCAUGAAUCAUAUCUAUGGCUUCAUAACUGAGGAUUUAAAGACUCCAAGAGAAUCUGUUAACUUAAGAUCACAAUAAAUGGAACUAGAAGAUGUUAGAAUAUUCACCAGACUAAUAGUUUCCAUCCGAAUCAAAUCCGAGACUUUUUACCCAACCAAAUUGGAUAGGGUAUUCGACGCGAAAACGAUAAGACACGACAUUUUCUACCUAACACGAGUACUGGUGAUUAUACCUAAUAUUGGUGGACAAAGUAUAGAUAAAUAUUUUUCAUCCGACCUGGAUCUGAAGAGACUGGUGAUUAUACUUAAUAUCACAACUGAAUCCAAUCAUAUUAGAAAAAGUAUAAAUGAAUAUUUUUCAUCCGACACGGAUCCAAAGACGACGGAUUGAUGACUAUACCCAAAAUAUCACACCAAAAUCCGAUCAUAUUGGAUAAAGUAUAGAUGGAUAUUUUUAAUCCGACACCGACCGAACCCUAAAAGCUUAUAAAAAUUAGACUCUCCAAAAUUAACUUUUAAAAAAUAUUAUUCAGGAAUGAUUUUAUCCUUCUUCCAUUACUGCCAUGAUCUCAUAAUACCAAAAAAAUAAAAGGACAGCAGAAAAACCUUCAAGGCUCCAAAUCUCCAACCAAGAAACUCCAAUUUAUUUUCAUAUCUAUUUGUUGGCAAUUAUCCGCUGUUUCUACAAAAGAUAAGCAGCAGAAGUUCAUUAUGUAAGGAGCCUUUUAAGAAGAAGAAAAAGGCAUCCAUUAUGAACCCUAGAAAAUUUCAAGAUAUUGUUUGAAAACAAGUUAGAUGGAUAAAGAGAAGACAAAAUGAAAAGGAACAUUAUAAUAUUGUUGAAACUUAAAAAGAAGAUUAGAUUGAAGUGUAAUGAAUUAGAAUUACACAAUGAUGCCUUUUUUAGCUCCUUGUUUUUCUGCAUGUCCGCCAAAAUUGUAAUUUUUGCUGUGCACCUAAUGGAAUCCGAGACGUCCAGAAAAAAUACUGAUAGAUGUAUCGGUUCAGCAUCUGCAGCUUAAUUCACAUAAAUGAUGGAACAAAGCUCUUAGGGAUGUUUGUCUGUCGUCUCUGAUUCAUUGCAGCAUCAUUUACAGAAAACUCACAUCGCUACGAUGUAUGCAUUAUCAUGAUCAACUGGGACCAGGAUGAGUUAAUCAGCUAUAGAAGUAGACACUUGAAUGAACACUUCAUAUAAACGAAUCAAUUCACAGAUUCAAAGAAAAGAACUUGAGGUUGUAGAUGUCCUCUUACGCACAUUGAAAGUACAUCAUCCCAACUGCCGACAACCUGUAUGGAGGACAGUGGCCAAUUUAUUUCUAAAGAAACUAGAAAAAGAUUAUUAAAUGUAAAGUUAUAAAUGGCAUAAAAUAAUAACUCACUUUCACCAUUUUGUCAUCAUAUAAGAACCAUUGUUUGCAUUCGUUAUUGUAUGCAAAACAAUGAUAAUGUUGUCCAUAAUAGCAGACCUGAGAAAUUAAGAACGACAUAAAAAAUGUGCUGACACCAAAUAAAUAUUUGAAUAAAGAUAAAAGAUCAAUGGUGGAAUAGUGCUCUACUACAUUCAUUGUUUAGUACUUGGGGGAACCUCUUCCCAAGCAAAAGUUAACGACAAACACAUUAAGUAAAUUUUCUUGUAUGAUCAUAUAAUCACAAAAGCUAAUGAUCAAUUCCAGAAGCAAAGACACUAAAAAAAGCAUGAAAUUUCAUAAAAAUAUGAAAAAAAGAUAAUAGUGUUGUACCACAGAAAUGAGUUCAUGCUUGUUUCCCAUGUCUAAGCCACGAUAAAGAACGCCAAUAUCCAAUUCUGUGGUUAUAGCAGCCAAAGUUGCUGAUAUGUCAUUUGGAUUUUCACACGUAGUUUGCCAACCCAAAACUAGGAAAUAAAUAAACAAAAAUAUCAAAGAUAAAUUCCAUCAAAUGAUCAAGAAAAAAAGUUAUGGCAAUGAAAAGAACAUACCAAUUGUGAAAACAUGUGGAGAUCUUGAAAAAAUAUGAUGAAUAUAAUUUGGCCUUCCACAGCCACCAGCAUCGCGAUCACAAGCAACUUGGUGAUUCAUUUCCACAUGAUUCAGAAGUUCGGCAAAAGAACUGUCUGCACAUGUGAUCUAUAUAAAAAGAAAGGUUGGGUUAGGUUAUAUUAAAUUUAUGAAAUGAUUCAACAAAGAAUGAAGACUAAAGGUAUUGUUGAAAUAGUUGAUCCUAACAGAAAAUGUUGGGGUGUGCUAAAAACAUGUUUUUGGCCAAUACAUUAAUUUCAUUAUGUCAACAAGAUAUUUAAAUAAUAAAAAGUUUACAAAUAAGUGAAUAACACAAGCCAUAGAAAGCACUCAGCAACUCACUCACAAAUUCCCACCAUGGAAUCUGCUCGGGAAUGCCCUUGGUCGUAUUGCUUGGUAUCUCCGGUCCGAAAGGAACAGAAAACUCAAGCAGCAUACCUUGAGACCUCCAGAAAUCCCCACCAUCAGGAACAUGAGCCUCUCACCAUCGGGAAUUGUAGGAAAGAACGUUGUUCCCAAUUGGAGAAAUACAUAAUGCAAGAGUGGGAGGCCAACUCCCAAGCCUACUACUAGUUAAUUACUAGUUUUAAGAAUAUAUAGGAAGUGUCGAUGGGCCAAGUUCCAUCUCCCUAAAUUUUCUAUCUUCUCUAAUUCUGUAAUCCAGGGCAUUGCCUAACAUUUUUAUAACGAGAGAUUUAAAUUUUAUCAAAAAAAAACACGUUAGAAGAAAAAUCUGCCUUGAUAUUUGAGUCAAUUUAGGUUUCUACUUUCAACACAAACUAGUAACCACCCAACCCAAUAAGCAUGCAAUUUCUAUUUUUCAAAAUAAGGAUAAAUAAAUUAAAAAUGCGAAAAACUAUUUUAAAGGUGAAACCAGCCAUCCUGCAAACAAAAACACCACUGCCCUUGAGUUUACAAGUUAUUGCCCAUUUAGGGUUCAGAGUUCAGACUACAUUAAUCCUACCCCCGAGCAUGCAAAUUCAUUUCCACUCUGGAAUACCAGAUAUUAAAUCUCAUAAAAAUAAAUUAAAAACAUGCCUUUGUUGUACGUAGAGCAUUGGCAUUGACGUUAUGGAAAAAUGUUGUAUACUUUAAAUGCCUGGACUCGAGACUACAUUUCUGGCAGUUCAUUUGCUCAAAUACAUCCAUUCCAAAGAGAUGGUGUGCUAUACACGAACUAUUAGAACAGUCCCAUGAACCUAAGCAAUUGCUUUCUUCUGAUCCAGUAUCACAAUCACUUGAAAAUGACGUAACCGAACGAUGAAGGCAGUCAAAUAGUACUGCCAAUACUUCUGAAGCAUCAUUCAUCUGAGCCUGGAGAUAAAAUAGAUUUGUUAGAUAUUAGAUUAAAGACAGGAAAAUAGUAUAAUAAGUUGAAGAUGGAAAAUAAAUGAAAACACCAUGAAUAAACAAUUUGAUUCUUGGAGCAAUUGUUUAGCAAAAUAUAUUUGGCUAAUAUUUUUCAGGAAAGAAAAUUGAUACAAAGAGCUUCUUGUUUAAGUCUCUCUGUAACAACUGAAUAAAAUUAAUAGAUAUAUAUAUAUAACUAUAGUCGGUGGCUGGUGUUUAGAAAAAUACAGCAAAAUCCUUUAAAAUGGCACACAAAACAAUAAUUGAGACAAAAUAUCAUAAAACAGAAUAAGAAAAUGCAAUACCUCUUGAAAGAAAUUACUAUCGGGAUAUAAGUUGCUUAAAGCAGACCGCAGGGAAGUAGGAGCAACAGGUUCUUUUAGAUCACCCAUCGAAGCCAUGCUCAGAGCAUUAAAUAUUUCAUACAAUGCACAUAUAACACAAGGACUUCCAACAUGCAUGUGCUUUGGUGAAAAUGCCAAGAACUCGUUACGAAAUCGCCUCAAAUGCCACAAUGACUGAAUUUUAAGGAAUGAAAAAAAUGUAUAACUAAAAAAUUAAGAAAAAAUUGAAACUAAGACAAAAGUGGAAUUUGAAGAAAAGAAUCUUCAUUCUUUAGUAACAUUAUCCAAUACCAACCUGGAUGAUCACAUUCAAAAAACAAUUGUACUCCCCAGCUUCAUUUUUUAAGCCUGUCCCAAGAACACCAUUUCGAUUCAAAGUGAUUUCUGACACUUGAAUAUCUGAACUCUUAUCAUUGUCAACUACUGGAGCUACCUUUGGCAUUAUUCUCGGUACUUGAGCCACAGUAAAGUUCUUAUGAGCUUCAUAUGUGUCUGUAAACAAAACAAGAAAUGAUAGACUAAGGACAUCCACAAUCUCACUACAUGGAAUAUGAAUAAUCUAGAAAGAAUAUGGGCUAAAAUAAAUAAAAAACACCAUAAAAGACAGGUAGAGAUAUGGAUUGUGAUUGUUGUGUUAACAUUAAGAUAUUUUCUUAGGUUAAAUUGCUAGCCAUUUUUAAUGCCAAAAAAAAAUAUGAUAGAUUAACAUGACGGUUAAAGAAACAUAAACCAACCUAGGCUCUGUCUGACAGCUUUUUUAAGGUCUUCCUGGAACCUCUCUUCAUCAUCCUCUUCAGCAUGCAAUUCUCGUAAUGUUUUGGAUCCAUUUUCACCUGGAUAUAUGACAAUUGACAAAUAUUGCAUCAAAUUGUGCUGAAGAUAUUAUAAAAAAUACAUCAUAAUUAUCACGCAGUUUUUUUUGUUAAGGUAUGUUGUAUUAAUUGAAAAUAAAAUUUUACAAACAGUUUAAUAGUUAAUAACAAAAAAAAAAAAUUUACAGAUACCCAAACAGCAAAUAAAUUAACACGUAAUUAUAAAUGUACGAAUCAUAUAGGGUCUCCUGUUUUACUGUAAACUGCCAAAGAAACGAAUACAAAUUCAGAACUCCCAUGAAAAAACAAAAACCACCUAGACUAAUGAAGAGCAAUGCCCAUGUUACAUUGAAGAUAAAUUAAAGAAAAAUGGAGAUGAGCAAUGUUCCUAUACUCUUUCCUAUAUAGCACUACCCCAUCUAGUGAUAAAGUAACUAGGUGUGUUGCCACAGGAGGCUGGCCUCCCAUAAAAUAUAAUGAAAAUUAGAAAACUUUAAAAACUUAAGGACCUAAAAAUAAAAACCACAAAAUUUUAAACUUAUAAACCCUAACCACACAAUCGUUGCCCCUACCUCUACCCCAAACAGCACAACCAGAUCCUCUGCCUCCUCUCAUCCUCGCCGGAGCAACCUCCUCUCACCCUCGCCGGAGCUUCUCAUUCCAGUCGCCAGAUCUUAUUUUCAAUGUUUGUUUAAGACUUUAAGAGUUUAAGUAGACUAUAAUCACUCUAUUAUUUUAAUUAUGAUUUUUAUUAUGAUUAUGACCUAUAAUAUCAGGGAAUUGCAUAAAAUAUAGAAAAUACGUAUAUUGAAAAAAUAAAAAUAUAUUUAAAAAACGUCACCUAUUGGGUCGCAUAUGCGACCAGGCGCUCGCAUAUGCAUUAUGCGCACUCAGGCAUCGCCUGGUUGCCUAGCCGCCUGCAAAAGCUUGUGUAUUUCUAUUUGAAAAUCAUGUUUUUAGGGAAACAGUUUGUUUCCGGCUAUUUUUUCAGAAUAUAACAUGUAUUUACUUCUUCAACAUGUAACCAUUAUACAUUAGCAGGUAAUAUUUAUUAUUUACAUUAAAUAUACAAUUUCCUUUGCAGGCUGACACAUUAACACACUAAUCACUCUAGUACCCCAAGAUGCGGGUUACUGGGUAUACCGCACUUUAGGCUAUCUUAAACCUUGUUCAGGAGAAAGGCCAAAACAUGGAAAUUUGCAUGAUACAGAUUAUAUGGAAAUGGUUCGUGGAUAAAAAAAUACCAAUAGAAGCUUCCAAACUGUUUUUUGCAGCUUCGGCUAUUUUUGCCUCUUUUGCAAUUUUCAGAUUAGCGGCCCUUGUCCUUCCUAAAUGAAAUACACAUCAAUGGCACAAGUAAAAAACUAAAGAUCGUGGUUGCAAAAAAACUAAAGAUCGUAAAAUAAUGCCCAAAAAUACAUGAAAUGAAUCAUAAAAAUCAUGCAAUACAUACUACUUUCACCAUGUGAAUUGUCAAUGAUCUUUUUAUGAGGGUGGCCUUUGUUGUGGACCAUAUUUUGAGAAGGCCCAUCUAUGUUGUUUUCCUUCUCAAAUUCAGCUUUGGGGCUUCCUUCGGCUAUUCUUUUAGAAUUACUUGACUUGUUGAAAUGUCUGUCUAGCCUCGUUUCAUGAGGCAAAUUUCCAUCUUGAAAUAUAUCAGGAGAACCUUCAAGUAAUCCCAAAAAUCAUUUUAUUUAUAAAUGAAAUAAAAUUAUACCAGCAUCAAUUUUAAAUUAGAUAAAACUAAUGCUAGUACAAUUGACAUGAGACAUCACUAACAUAUCUGAAUUUCUGAUUUCAUGAUUGAAAGCAGCUUACAAAAAUGAGUUGUUAUAGUUAAUCUCUUUUUAUUUAUAUUAAAGAAAUUCACAUAAACUUUAAAAUAUAUACGCAUUAUUAAAAAAAAAGGAAAUUAAAAGAAACAUGUAACAAGUAGCAUCUUAUGACUACUGAAUAAUAAUAAUUAGCUAUAUAUAAAAGACACAGUCUUUUUGCAAUUUAAUUGGAUUUAUCAUCCAUAAAUUAAAUAUAAUAUGAUGGUUGUGCCAUACUCCUUUCAUUGACAAAAACAGUUAAUUACUCUUUUUGGAGACUAGGAAACACCCCCACUCCCUCUCCCCUUCUUUUAGGUGACCUGAUAGAAGCUUGCCAAAAACUCACUUAUCAUUCUCCUCUUUUUUGGCAGUGAUGGCUGAAGCAACACACUCAUCAUUAGAUCAUGGGGUGCAUUGCUUGGAAUAUCUGGUCUGAGAAGAACAAAAUGAUGAAGCAACACACUCUGAGACCCAGAGAUCCUCACAAAAGAAAUCAUAGGGACAUCAACCUAUCUUACAAAUCAGAAGAUUUCAAGAAGGCCAAUUGUUCCAAAUGAAGAUAUUUACAUUGGAAAUGUGGGAGACUAACCUCCUGAGGCAGCAUCUCUAUUUACUUAAUCAUUAGAAAUCAUAUCAUAUAGUAAAGACUAAAGAGUCGAUGAACCUAGGGUCAUCUUCCUAUUUUUUAUAUCUCCACUUGUAUUCUAGGACACUGUCCUUUACUUAUAAUGAAAAAUGAACUUUACCAAAAAAAUGAUGGUUGUAUUAUCCAUAUUAAAUAUAUUAUCAUUUGUAUCCAACAAAAAAACUAAAUGCACACCUCUUUUGUUUUUAGGAUGAGAGCGAUUAUUUGCCUUAUUUGUCCUUUGGUUGAAAGAAGUUGUAACUGAUACUUCUGACACUGAAUCACCUUCUAAAUGAUUUACCAUUUUUCCAUUCUGAUUUAACCUUGUAACAUUUUCACUUUGUAUUAUCUCAAGUGACUUCUCUUUGUGGUUGUGUGUGACUGCUUGUGAGUCAUUGUUGACCAGUAGAUCACUCUUGCCAUGGAUGGAAAUGACUGGAUCAAAUUUCAUACUCUGAGCUGGAGAAUGUAUGAUUUCAGAGAAAUGGAAAUCCCCAAAACCUAUUCCUUUGAUAGAAGUUGAAGAAGCAGUCUCACUUAAAUUUGUGUGAUCAUAGUUAGCCAAUUCACCAUUUGAAUCCUGUGUGGCAUUUAAAUAUAUAUGGGAUGGCUUCUUUAACAUAUUUUGUGAGGGUACUCCACUAGUUCUUUUGAUUUGUUCUUCAAUAUGCUUCUGUUUAGCCUCAUUUUCCAUUUUCCGUUGAUACUCUAAGGUCUCUUCAAGUUUCCUUUCUUCUGCUUCAAGUUCAGUUUUUCGUCUAAAUUCUUCUGCUUCAUCUUCCUCCUCUUGUAACUUCAAGUAACCUUUACUUGGAAAAUAUUCGAUUUCGGAUAAUCUAGCUUCUGCUGUGACAAGAGUUUCACUGUAACAAAAAUACAUGCCAAAGAUAUUAUGACUGCUUAACAUAGUACUAUGAUAAACGAUUAAAUGAUUAUAAUACUUUGCAAAAAAAUCUAUAACGAGAAACGAAGUUCAGCAAAAAUAACCAACAUUCCUAAAUCUCCAUGUUCUAUUACACAGAACACAGAAGUAUUAACAUAUAAAAGUUUGUCUUAAAAUUUUAUUACCGAAAAAACAACAUACAUAAUCGUUAAACCUGUAAAUGGUAUACCAAAAUCUGUAUUCGUAUCCGUUUUCGAAUUUGAAUAUGUCUAUUCGAAUUCGGAUUUCCAGAUUCCGGAUCCGGAUACCAAAAAUGAUAUCCGAAAAUUAUCCGGACGGAUUCGGAUAUCUGCAAUAUCCACCGUUAAAAUCCGAAUUCGGUUGAUAAUUCCGGAUUCGGAUAUCCGAAUAAAUAUAAAUUGACUUCCGGAUAUCUGUAUUAUCCGGAUUUUAGGGUGAUUAAUUGACUAUUGAUUAACUUUAUUAAGGGUGAUUUUAUAUUUUUAUAAUUUUAUUUUAAAAUUUUUAUAAAAAGUUAUCCGGAUUCGGAUUUUCCAGAUAUCCAGAAAUUUAUCCGAAUUCGGAUUUUUCUAUCCGGAUAUUAUUCGGACGGAUUCGGAUUAUCCGGAUAUUAUCCGGAUUCGGAUACCCCAUCCGGAUUCGGAUACCAGGGUAUCCGAGCCGAAUCCGACCGAUACACAGGCCUAAUCGUGGCAUUUUCAAUUGGUAAGUUUAGUUAAUUGCUUUAAAAAAAUUUUGGUAAGUUUAGUUGAUUUUCCUACUUCAAUGUUGAAAGUAAACAUUUAAGAUUCCAAUUGCCAUAGAUGUGCAACCUAACAAACAAACAUCAAUCGUCAAUAAUAUGCAUUUUUUGGACUAAGGAAACUUAGGAAAGUAAGAAACCUUUUAUCACUAGUUCGAUGAGCUUAGGCUCAUUUCCCUAAGUUAUUACUAUUUUAUCUGUCUUCAUGUGUAAUCUCUGGUCACUGCUCAUCAUUCACGUAAUAAAAAAAAUCUAUCAAAAAAGAAGUCAAAAACCUCUCCUAGAAAGGUAAAACUUCCAAGUGAUAUACCAUAGCCCACCUAAUAUAUAUAGCUGUGUAAUUUUAAAGUGGAUAGGUACUCAUCAGAAAUAAAACUUUUAACCUCAUACAAAUUUUUAUUAUCACAAGACCAUACUAUUACACGAUUUACAUUGUGAAUUAAUCCCUCAUUUUUCAAAGAAAAAUAAUUGAGCUAAAAAAGUGUUUACUAAAAUAGUAAAAUCACGUCAUCUAAGUAGAUGGGGUAAACAUAGCUAUCAAUUUAACUACAGUGUCAAAUUUAGAGCUGUAAGCCUGUAACUCCAAAAAAAGGGCAUGAAAACUUCCUGAGAAAGGAGUCCCUGAUAAUAAUGAUCUGUUAUAUACUUAAAUUAGUUCAAGAUUACUGUUAUGGAACAUGUUAAUUAAUAUAAUCUAUGACAGAUCUCCCUCUUUUGUAUUCUCUAUAAAUACUGGUGUAAAAAUCUAAAAUCUAAAUAUUCAUCAGUUAUUAAUGUAAUGAUCAUCAGUUUUGGAUUCAUAUUUCUGAAAAACUAAUAUAAAAAUGAUGGAAAGAAAAUAUACAUUUUUUCUGAUGAUUCCUGAUGGAAGACAGCCUCACCAUUACAAGCAAAAGUCUGAAUUUUUUUAUAAUAGUUAGUAAUAUGCAUAUAAACAGAACAAAAAAUAGAUCAACUGGAAGAAAAGUACCGUUGAAGCCUUUGCAUCCUUUGGUUUUCUGUGAUCCUUAUUUUUUUUCUUGUCCUUGGUUUUUUCCUGAUAAUUUUUUGAUUGUUCACCUCCUUUACUUACAUUCUUUUUAGCAUCCCUUGCAAGUUCUGCUAAAAAAGCUUCUCUUGCUGCAUCAGAUUUCUCGGUGGCAUCUUUGUCAACUAAAUCCUCUAAAUAUGCCUGCAAAAAAUAAGGGUAAUCAUAGCUCAACAAAUAAAUCUAAAAGAAUGAUAAGAAAGGAAGAGUGAUGAUUAAAUCAAGUGUCAGUUGUGAGUUGUGACAAGCCCUAAUAUUUCCCCACCUCAAAAAAGAAAUUAAUCCAGAAACAACUAAAUAAACUCACUUUAAAAAAAUGAUUUAUCUUUUCUUAUUACCAAAAACGAUUUAUUUUUCCUUAUUAACAAAAACAAGUCAGAAUAAUAUACCCGCAUGAAAGACUUGACAAGAGGCAAAACAACUCCCCGGUAAUCAAAGACUGAAGAUGGUCCAAGUUUUUGCUCCAGCUGCUCUAUUCCAGUGAGAUUCCGCAUAAUCCUUGCAUCAAUUUUACUAAUCUGAGCAAGAACAUAUUACCAGUAAUAAGCAACAAUAUUAUCUUUUUGAAAACUGCAUCAAGCUUACAAACCUCAAUAGAUACAUGUUCUUUUUGUCUCUGAAUGGCCGUUUCUACACAAGAAUCUGCCUGAUGCAAAAGAUCUUGUACUCUCCAUUCAUCUUCCCCGCUGCAAUCUAACUCACAUAGCCGAGAUGUCGUGCCAGUUAAUGUCUUAUCAUACCCAAACUGAUUAGAAUUUAAUGAUUGUGAUUCUUUCAAAAUAUUUGAAAUAGCAUCCAUCUCUAGCCGACUUUCAUUAAAUACUGUGUCACUCUCCCUCUCAACAAGAUCUUCCCGCCUCUUUCUCAAGAUAGUAUCAUAACUAUUAGCAGUGACAGUAACUGUAGAGGCAUGUUCUCUCUUCUUGAAUUCUUCUAGACAAAGAUUCUCCACUGUGUGUAAAGCCUCUUCAUAGUUUAAAUGCUCGCAUUUCCUUUCACACAUAUUCUGCAAGAGGUAAAAGUCCUUCUCCAACAUCUGUAGAUUUUCAAGUCCCUGUUGUGUCUUUUCAUCCCUAGAAAUAGUCCAACUUACCAACUGGUCUCCACUCGACAUGCCAGAAAAUAACCAAGACACCAGUAUAUUUGUAUCGACUUUAUCUAUAUCAUCAGCAGGAUCACAAUUUUCAGAAGCAUCUUUAUUACAAAAUAAUCUGUGAUCCAAGUGGAGGGUUGUGGCAUCACAACUAAGAACAAUAUUAUUUAGGGAUUCAUUUCCUUGGCUCACAAUAAGAGUAUCAUCAAUGAUAAUAUUGUUUUCAGCAUAUCGCCCUAAGCCACAUGAAUGUGAAAGAUCCUGCAAAAACUUAAGUACUUUCCGAAGAUGUGAUGCUUCUAAGAAACAAAUGCAGAGAGGAGAUUGAUCCAAUCCAACUUUCAUCAAUUGAGAACUAUAUGGAAGUCCUUGCAACUCAUCCAUGGUGAAUUGUAUUAACUUGUUAAGAUGGCCUGAUGAAAGACAUUUGUUCCUGGCAAGCAACUGAAAAAUACCAUGAAUUCUCUCUAGAAGCUUUUGUCGUUCUGAGUCGUCAGACAAAGGCCAUCUACGUGAAAAAUCAUUGUCUACCCUAAUAAUAUCAAAAUCAGAAUGAUAGUUUUCUCUUUUCCCUAAGGAAAGCCCACUGCAGAAAUCAUCAUCUGCUUUGGAUUCUUUAGCGCUCCAAUAAUCAAACAAUGAUUCCCUAUCCUUACUUCCAUCAUCAUAGUCAAAAUCCGUAAAAGAUUGAUACCUAAACCGUUCGUCCUCAAGCAUCUUUGCUGCACCAUAUGCAUCGAUGGGUUUCCAGUUAUCAUUUACAAUCUUAUCUACACAGUCAGAAUCAACCUCUUGAGGUAACACCGACUGCAGUUUGGAUGUCAAGAUUCCUACAUGCUCAUUCUCCACAUGUUGUAGAUGAGUGUCUACAUCUGUGAACUUCUCUCGACACCUGCAACAAACCCAAAACUUCCAUGUCUGAUUUGGCUUCACAAAUGACAGAGCUUCUGACAACAAAUCAUUUGCCAGAGUAUCUUUCGAACCUGCAUGUUGCAUCUGAAGAUCCUGCACCUUUACUUCAAGAAAUUUCUUCUUGUUCUCAGAACUCAUGGAAUUCCAGUAACUGCUUACUUUAUCCAUUCUAUCUGUUGAUGAAACAUGUUUCCUACCACUAUUCAUCUUCCGUCUCUCCCCAACUCGAUGUGAAGUUGAAUUAUUAGUAGUAGACAAAGCAUCCACUGUAUUCAGCUGUUCAUCCUCAUUCUGUGAUUGUUUUUGCAUAGUUGGGUUGGAAUUUUUCUGUUGCAUCAGCCGGGCAGCAGCCACCCGAACCUCAAUCUCCUUGCGGCGCUCCUCUGGUGUUUUUGAAGCCUUCUUAAUCUCAUUUGGCCUUUUUGCCGACUGUACCAGACGAAUCUCCAUUGGAUCAUCUGAUAACUUUCGCAUUGGAAUAAGACGGAUCUUGUCAUCACCUACACCACCGACACCUGUGCUAGCCCCAUUUCCCAAGUUCUUCAUCCACAUUGAAAUCGAUGAAAUGUUCGCCUUCUGGAUAAGUGACCGUAUAUCCUGAUGUACAUGUGCAAUCCUUUCUUCUGCUGUCACCAAUUUCUGCUGGCUUAGAUCCUGAAGACUCUCCAUAGCUGGAUCAAUUGGGUUUUCAAUCGCAAGUGCACGCUCACACUCAUGAACAACCUCCUCAUAUGCUUUACUGUCACUUGCAGUGUCAUACAGAAGAUUGGCAUAGAAAUAAGUGAACUCGACAGAAUCAGGAGACAUCGACACUGCCUUCCGAGCAGACUCGAUCGCAUUUCUUAGAUGGCGACUCUUCACAUUUUGGUCAUCAAUGAGCCCUGCAACCUUAACAAAAAUAGUACCAUGAACACGAUGUAGAAGAGCAGAAGAAUCUUUGUGCCUCGCACACGCUUCUUUCAUUAGACGGAGUGCCUUGGUGUGGUUCCCACGUCGGAAUGCCAGGAGAGCCUUCUCGCACUCCUCCUUGAUGACAUCAGAACUGACAGAAACCCUAGUCAGUGGCGGCGGUGGCGGUGGAAGAGACGGAGCAAGAUCAACUUUUGCGUUCCCGACUCCGCUUCUAUCCGUGGAGAUACCAUCGAGAGACAAAGCUUUAGUCGAGAUAGCAGUGUUGUUCGCCGGCAGCGGUGGAAUCCGGAGUUUCUGAUUAGGGUUUCGUUUUCGAUUCCCCAUAGAAAGGGGGCGGGUGGAGGUAAAGGACUUUUUUUCCCUUGUUUCGAUUUUCCGACUACUAACCGUACGCCGCGCCUCUCAUCUGAAAAAUCAAUCAACCACGUGGCGGGAAAAAAACGCGUGGACCUAGAACACUCCCAUGUCGUUCAACUGCGGUGCACAGGAUUGGGGGUACGGAUCGAAUCGAAAUUACAGAGAACGAGAGAUCCGAGUUCUUACAGACUCAGCAAUCCUAUAAGAUCGAUCGACGUCGAAGAAGAAGAAAGGAAGGUGCCCCGAGGCACCGGAGUUGCACUUCUACUAUCGCAAUGGUGGCUUCGAUCGAGACGAAUCGGUGAUUCCGACGACGACGACGAACGUUCUACCUUCUCUCUCCUCUCUCCUCUCUCUCUCUUCUUCUCUCUCUUUCCUUGUCACUUGUUACCGCAUGACACCGUGGGUCCGUGCAUACAUGACGGGUAGAGUGGCAGACGUGUGUUUUAAACUUUUAAUCAUGUAAAUCUCGACCCGUCAACCGUUUAAAAUGCCGCACACCUGUUCCACACCCGCCCUGAUUAAAUGGGUCCAUACCUAAAUCCUAAGUCCAUUUUUAGCCUAGUGUCACCCACAUAUCCUAGGGGUAAGGUUUCACCCAGGUGAUAUAUAAUCAAUGCUACUUCAUUUAUUUAUUUAUUUAUUUUUCUUUCUUUUUUUUUUUGAGAAAACUUCAUUUUAUUUCAAUUAAAUUAAAUUAAAUAAUUAGUGUCAAAUUUUAGUGUUCAUCUCUUAGUGAUGUUUUUUUUGUGAGAUUUUAUCUCUACCUUCCAUUUUCAUUGAGGUACGAGAGAUAUUGUAAGUUGUAAUACAAAUUUUAAACCAUCAUUUGAGAUAACAGAAUCUUAUUACUUAGAAAGAGCAUUAAAAUCAGAUGCUGAUUAAAACCUAAGGAUUUUUAAUUGACUUGAUUCAUUUACAUAUCUAGAUGUAGUUGGUGAGGAAUUGCUCUCUCAUUUUUAUAUACAUUUAGCGAAUAAAUCACAAUCUAUCAAUAGGGAAAAGAUUUAGGUUACAGUUGGGUUUAAUAGAGAACAGUGCAUUUAAUAAUCGGGCAUGGGACAGGGUCGAGAGAUUCCUCGUCUGAAUAACAUCCUUAAUGGUCGGUUUUUAAUUAAAACCUAUUCGAAGUUAUAUCAAUAAUAAUUAGUUUACUGUAGUUAACGUGUAAUGGUGUAGUUAGUAAUUGGGUUAGUUAAACUCUUAAGACUAUAAAAGUGUAUUUAACAUUUAUGAAUUAGUUUAAUCUUUUGGAUUGAUUGAAUCAGUGUUAAGUUUUCUGAGAUGGUAUCAAAGCUUUUUCGUUAUUAACUGUUUCGUUGUUAAUCCGAUUGCCUUCUUCCGCGAUCGUAUUCUUUCGCGAUCGUCUGCGCCUUCUUCCACGAUUUGUGUCUGGAUCUUGCGCAAUUUGACGGAUUCCAGUUCACCGAUUCCGUCUAGUCUUCUGCUCGCAUUUUCUCCAGUUCACGUGGAUUCAAGAUCGGUUGUCGUUCGUGUACAACACGUGGAUUUCUCGCCGAUCGAUUGCAAUCUGCGAUUGCAACUGGUUUGAUUUUUUAUUUGAUUUUUUUAAUUAAUUCAAUCUGCGUGAGUCUGCGUACGAUUGCAAUCUACGUGCGUUUUUUUUAAUCUGCGUGCGAUUGCAAUAUGUUUUGCAUUUGUUUACGUUUACAGAUUUACCGAUUUGUUUGCGUGUGAUUUGUCUGCGUGAUCUGCAUGAAUAUUCAUUAUUCAAUGUUCGAUUUACAAAUCGAUUUGCGUUUCUUAUUUACCGAUUGAUUUCCGAUUUCUCAUCUUACGAUUUCCGAUUGAUUGCCGAUUGUUUUUCAUCUUCGAUUUCGUUUCUGGGUUUUGAUUUCGUUUUCCGGGUUAUUUCGAUUUUCGUUUUCAUGUAAUCGAUCUGAUUUGCGUGCGUCGGGAUUGAUUUGCGUUACAGAGUGUUUACUGUUUACAAAUCGAAUUAGAGAUUUUUUUGUUGUUGUUGUUUCUUUUAUUUCUAAAAAUUACAGGUCAUGUGAAGCUUUCUGAGAAAACCGACUGUUUGAGAACUGAAUGAAAAUCUCAAUCCUACCAUUUAUUUAAUUUCAAUUUCAACUCACAUGGGUCAAAGCAGAUUAAUCGAGAUUGUUGUCAAAAAAAAUCUUAACUCAAACUUUGUGCUUUUUCAUAAGAUCGUGUCAUUAUGACAAUACAAACUGAUAGUAAUUAUGAACCCUAAUUAUACUCGAGUUGUCUUGUUUGUCUCCGUUCAUUAACGUUACAAAAAUGAGACCAAUGAUAAGCUUUACACAAAAUAUAUAACAUUAUUAACAUUAUAUAAUUCUUAUUAGAAACAGAGUGGCGAUGAUCGCCGGAGAGGAGAACAAAGGAAGGAGAGGAUGAAGAACUGAUGUAUUGAAUUGUGAUUGGAAUCGUGAUUAAUUCACUGCAUUCCUUGUGCUUUUAUAUUUGAUUGUCUAACUGUAUUUGUACCUAACUAUUAACUAAUUACAUUCUAUAUUUCAUACUAAUAUUCUAUAUUUCAUAUACUAAUAUACCCCCUCAAUCCUGUGAGAAUGGUCUCACAAGAUUGACUCGUUGUUGCGCAAAUCCUUUAGGCGAUAAUGCUUUAGUGAGGAAAUCCGCUUUUUGUGACGUUCCCGGGAUAUGAGAUAUGUGCACUGAACCUGCCUCAAUUCUUUCUCUAACAUACUCAAGGUCAAUUGCGACGUGCUUUAGUUUGGAGUGACAUGCCGAGUUAGUAGCUAGAAAAACUGCGCCUCGAUUGUCUGAUUUGAGUAUAAUUGGGAUUUUUACGUCGACUCCCAAUUCCACUAUUAGGUUUUUGACCCACUCUAACUCUUGAAUAGUUGUGGCGAUGACUCUAUAUUCUGAUUCGGUGCUCGAACGUGAGACCGUGCUUUGCUUACGAGAACUCCAUGCAACCAAUGUAUCGCCAAUGUAUACCAGAUAUCCUGUUUGACUUUUUCGAUCAAUUUUGUCUCCGGCCCAAUCUGCAUCGCAAUAUCCUGUAAUUGUAAGAUCAUUGACUUUCCCAAGUGUUAUUCCCCACGAUUGAGUGCCCAAGAGGUAUCUGAGUACUUUCUUCAUAUCCGUCCAGUGAAGAGGCUUUGGAGAUGACAUGAAUUGCGAUAGCUUAUUAACUGCAAAUUGAAUGUCCGGUCUUGUUAACAUGAGAUAUUGAAGUGAGCCCACGAUACGUCGAUAAUCUUUAACUUGUUCUAUCGGUGUUUCAUCGGAGUAGAGAUCUUGAUUGGUCAACAUAGGUGUAGUUGAAGGCUUCAUGUUGUCGAGUUUAAUACUCUUGAGUAGGUUCACGAGAUAUUGAGUUUGGCAUAGAUGUAAUCCAUCCUCUACCUUUCUCACUUGAAUUCCUAAGAAGUAUGAGAUGUAGCCGAGUUUUCGUACUGCAAAUUCGUCCCCUAGUUGGUCCAUCACUUUUUCUACCGUAAAUUCAUCAGAUCCUGUGAUAACAAUAUCAUCGACAUACACAAACAAAUAUAUCUUGCACUUAACGGGAUUAGUCUUGUGUAAUAAAAAUAAUGAUGGAUUCGAGCAGCUUUGAACAAACCCUAAUGUGAUCAAGAAUUGACGAAGCCGUUUGAGCCACAUUCUCGGCGCUUGUUUUAAUCCAUACAACGCUUUAUUGAGUAGACAUACAUGAUUUGGAAACUUAUGAUCGACAAAUCCCAUAGGUUGUUGAAUAACGAUUCUUUCUGCAAUAUCGCCAUGUAAAAAUGCAUUGGAGAUAUCGAGUUGGGACAAUUUCCAUGAAUUCGUAACUGCAAUGGUGAGCACCAAUCGAAUAGACACCGGAUUCACUACUGGACUGAACGUUUCGUUAUACUCCGAUCCUUCUAUCUGCCGGAGUCCAUUUGCGACUAAUCGUGCUUUUAGUCUUUCCACCGACCCAUCUUCCCUUUGUUUUACUUUAAAGAUCCACAAUGAAUUAAUGAUGUUAUCAUCUGGAUUUCUUGGAAUCAAUUUCCACGUAUUGUUCCGUUAGAGUGCUUCAAAUUCUUGCACCAUUGCUGCCUUCCAUUCCGGAAUCAAUAGAGCUUGCUUUGGUGACUUUGGAACUGCAAUGUCGCUAGGUGAUACCGAGAGUCCAUAUUUUGGAUUGGGUUUGACAAUCCCACGUUGGGCUCGAGUCACCAUUCUAUUUUCUGGACCAGCCUUUUCCGAUGAGAUACUCGUAUUAUCUGCAGAUUGAGUUUCUUCCGUAGAUGAAGCAUUAUCCGGACCCGUGCUAGAAGUUGGUGUUUCACAACUUAGACUUUCAUGGAGUUCUCUCAUAAUAACAUCAUGACUUGGACCUGCAUGUAAUUCUUCCAUAUUAUUAUUAAUAUCAUCAUGACUUGGGCUUGGAUUUGUUGACUUGGGCUUGGAUUUAUUUUUCAAUAAUCUCCAACGUGACUGGGCCUGAAUUGGUAACCGGGCCUGGUAUUAUUUCAGGGCUUCCAAUAGUAACUGGACCUGAAAUGUUAGUUCUUGGACAAAUAUCAUAAUUAUCUCUGUCCAAACAAUUAUUUAGUGAAAAAUCACUCUCUUCAAACCUGACAUCUCUUGAGAUAUAUAAUUUUUCAGCUACUGGAUCUAGACAAAUAUACCCUUCAUGAUUAACCGGAUAUUCCAAGAAAAUACACGGUGUAGAUUUGCGGUCCAGCUUUAAGUCCGAUAUGGUUGUAGACACGGGUAACAUUUGCACCCGAAUAUUUUUAAGAACUCGUAAUCUGGUUUUCUUCCAGAUAGUUUCUCAAAGGGGGAUUUUCCUGCAUUUACAACUGAUGGAUUACGAUUAUACAAAUAAGUGGUUGUUAGUACCGUAAAAUCUCAAAAUUUAUUUGGUAGUGACGCAUGUUGAAGAAUCGUGACUGCAGUGUCAACCAGAUGUCUGUGUCGACGUUCAACUGUCCCCAUCUGUUGAUGACUGUAGGGACACGAGAAUCGAUGUAUAAUUCCAAACUCCUCAAGCAUUGGGGUCAUUUUCUUGAACUCUAACACAUUGUCAGUUUGAAAUUCUUUAAUUAAGCACCUUGUUUGAUUUUCAGCCAUCUUUUUAAAUUUGAGGAAUAUUUCUUCAACUUGUGAUUUUUUUUGAAGUGGAAAAACUCAGUUGUAAUUUGUACUUGCGUCUACAAAGUUUAUAUAAUAGCGGUAUCCUUUAGAUGAAACGCAUGGGCUAGACCCCAUAUAUCUGCUAGAACUAAUGACAGAGAUUUAUCAUACAUUGUUGACUUAAUACGAUGAGGUAAGGCAGAUGACUUUUCUAUCCUACACGAAUUACAACAGUUUACAACUUUACCGGAUAUUUGAAUUAAUUUCUCUUUUACUAAUUGAUCAACUGCCUUUUGGUGUAAAUAACCCAGCCGGCAGUGCCAAAUUUCAUUUGUCGUCCUUUCACCCAACAGUGCCACCGGACCUUGGCUUAUAUGAACAGGUAACCGAUACAAGCCAUUCUCCUGGUCCCCUUCCAAGAGUACCUCCUUAGUGGCCACAUCUUUUACUUUCACACUCUGAGAAUCAAAUUCCACAAACACAUUAUUAUCAAUACAAAAUUGAUAUACUGAUAGCAAAUUUUUGGAAGCAUUAGGAACACAUAAUAGUUCAUUCAUCACAAAUAUUUUCUGUCCAUUUGUAAAUUCCGACUUUCCUGAGUGAGAGAUAUGUAUGUUGUCACCACUAGCUGUAGUGAUAGUCGUGGGACCAAUAUAUGGUUUAGCCACUUGCAAGUUAUUUCUUAUGCCUGUGAUGUGAAUAGAAGCACCCGAGUCUGGGUACCAGAUAGCCGAUCCUGCCUCAGAUAAAUUGGCAGCAAAAUUUGCCGAUGGAGACGAUAGUCCUACUGCAACCAUUUUCCUGUUGUGAGUCGGAGAAAAUUUCUUGGCGUUAAACCUGUCAAAACAGUUCAAUGCUCCAUGCCCCUUCCGAUUAUAUAUUUGACAUGGGGCAUUUCUGAUGGACUUAUAAUUUUCAGAUUUAUUUUCAUAUUGGCACGACCCAUUACCAUUACUUUUCCCAAAUCGAUUUUUGUUUUCACGAUUUUCCCCAAAUCGAUUUUUCUCCAACGCCACAUUCGCGGAAAACGCAGACGCCGACAGGGAGGACGACGUCGAUGUGAAGCCGCGAUUUUCUUCCGAUAAGCGAAGUUCUUGAUCCAUGAGGAGUGAUUGGAGGUCGACGAGGGUCAUCGUUGCGUCAAAUCGUGUUGUGAUGGAGUUGGUGAAGGUCGUGUAUUCUUGCCCCAAGCCGCCGCCGACGGUAAUCAUCUUAUCUGCUUCUGUGAUCUUUUCCCCAAUCAUCUGCAUUUCAUCGAUUAGGGCUUUGGCAUGAGAAAUGUAUGUCGACAUUGACAUCGUCGGCUCCUUCUUCAUCGUCAGAAAUUGACGUCGGAGAUACAAGAUCCGGGUGAUUGAUCCGGAUGAAUACAACUUUGACAGAGCCUUCCAGACCUCGGCGGACGAUGUCAAACUCGCCACCCGAGAUAGAAUGUCCGACGACAGUGACUGGAAGAGCCAUCCCAGGAGCAGCUGGUCCUGUCGCACAAAAAUUGGUGAUUCACUUAGAUUGAUAUCUCACCUUCCACAUACUUUAGCAAAUCCGUGCCAAUGAGCACACAUGUGGCCUGAGCCUUCCACGAUACGUAGUUAUCCUUGUUGAGGGUAACAAAUGAGAGCUUCUUCACAUGAAGAUGUUCCCCUACGCGAAUGACGAUUCUAUCAGAUGAGUUUGCGGAAGCAUCGGUACCGGGCGAUGAUACCAUAUUAGAAACAGAGUGGCGAUGAUCGCCGGAGAGGAGAAUAAAGGAAGGAGAGGAUGAAGAACUGAUGUAUUGAAUUGUGAUUGGAAUCGUGAUUAAUUCACUGCAUUCCUUGUGCUUUUAUACUUGAUUGUCUAACUGUAUUUGUACCUAACUACUAAUUAAUUACAUUCUAUAUUUUAUAUACUAAUAAUUCUUAACAUUAAAAAAUAAAUUAUUUUCAACAUACGUUAUUAAAAUAUCAUUUAAACAAACAUCAUUCAUACAAUUACAAUAAUUUCAUUUCAUAAGAUUUAUUAUCGAAAAAAAAUAUUCACUCAAACAGUCGCAAUUGGUAAUACGGCAAAAACCUAAGUUUUAAAAAAUUGUAGUUUAAUCUUCAAAGUUAAUAACAAUAUAAAAUUUUCAGUAUAUGUAAUUAAAUUAUAAAUUGAUGAUACCCUGGGUGACGGGGGUUUGAAACGAACACGUGACAUUCUUUGGAUGAAACCUUCGCCAACAUCUGGAGGGCAGGCCUACAUCUUUGGAUGAAACCUACAACGAAGUUUUAGCGAUCGUCGCUGAAAUCAAUUUAGCGACGAUUUUUGACUUUCAGGAAUCUUGUAGUGACACCUAAAGGCUAAAAAUGCGUGUUCGAGGUGACAAAGGGGCAGUUCCUUGGAUAUAAGAUCACUCCGAACGGAAUCAAACCACUGACAAAGAAAGUCAAAGCAGUCAUGGCAAUGGUCUCCCCAAAAAUAAUCAAAGAGAUACAUAGACUAAACAAUCGGGUCACGGCGCUUAGCCGAUUCUUACCACGGAGAGCGAACCGAUGCCGCCCGUUCAAAGCACGUAGCAUCGAAGAUGGUGGCAUGGUCGGAGGAAUUAAUGCGCGCAAGCGUUCAAAGAACUAAAAGAACAACUCGCAAACCUCCCAACACUGCAGCCACCCUGCAGACUAUUCUUGUAUGUGGUCAGCUCCGAGUUCGUUGUAAACGUGGUCCUCGUGUUGGAAACAAAGGAGCAGCAAAGACCGGUUACUGCUAUUAGAGUAUAUAUUAUACACUUUGGUUAUUUGUUGUAACAACACACCCAAUCUGUUAUGGGAUUAUUACAUCUUCAAUUGUAUAUAUAUACAAUAAUAAAAUAGUGUCAAUCACUCAUCGGUGAUUAGCUACAAACACUAUUGUGUUCAUCUUCUCCUCCCUCAUCUUUCAUCAUCGAUAUUUUGUCUUCAACCUCCGAGGUAGUCUCAUCCAAUAUAGUAUCAGAGAGUGUUGUUGAUCCUACGGCCGCAGCUCCGUUGCAUCCUUCGGGUACUCUGAUUCCGGCGAAUAUCGUAUCUGCUCCGAUGAUCACCCACCCAAUGGCAACAAUGGGCUUCAUCAACAACACUUCCGCGAACUCAGUUCCUGCAAUUAAUUUCACAGGAAACCCAUUUUCAAAUCAGAUCGGUGGAAAUUUUUUCCGUCAGGCCGGCGCCGAUCUUCAAAAUCAGUUCGGUGGCUCUUUCCUAAAUCAAUUCGGCGGUCAUCUUCUUCGAGAUGGAAAUCUGAAUCAGGCCGGCGCGACUCUGCAACAACCGUUCUAUCAGAUCGGCGACCCUCAAAUCGGGAACUCCACGUUCGACGGAGCUCCGCGAUUUCCGUUUGGCGUCCCUCAAAUCGGACAUCCAGGAGGCGGCAUCUUCCCAAAUCAAACCGGAGGAAAUUUCUAGACAUCAAAUCCGACUCUAGACAACACAUCAGAUCCGCUUCUACAUCAAGUCGGAGCCACUUUUCUAGUCGCCGGAAACAUCGUCGGAAACUUCUUCGGAAACCCUGAAUUGCUCGUCGAAACUCCGUCCUUCGGCUCGAUCCAGAGCUUUCUUCAUAUAAAGCUCAAAAGUACCAACUAUUUGGUUUGGAAAAUGCAAUUUCAACCUCUUAUAAAUUGUUUUGGACUACAAUCGUUUAUCGACAGGUCGAUUCCUUCUCCUCCACCGUCACCAACAUAUCUGAUCUUUCUGGCGUGGUGGAGAAAAGUUUAGUUGUUGUGUAGAUGGAUUUUAUCAUCCCUCUCAAAAGAAAUCAUUCCCACAAUCAUUGGUUUAAAUUCAACAGCCGAAAUUUGGUCAUCUCUUGCUGCUUCUCUUGGGUGACCGUCGGAAUCACGGAUUCUUCAACUUCAGAUGCAACUGCAAAAUACUAAGCAAGAAUCGACAGAGGACGUGGUCGUGUUUCUCCGACGAGCUAAGUUUCUAUCAGAUAAAUUAGUCGUCACAGGUGCUCCAGUUCCUGCACGAAUUUUUAAUGCGACGGUAUACAAUAAUCUUGGUCCCGAUUACAGUGAUGCAGUGACCGCUCUUGCCAUUCGACAAACAUCGGUUGCAUUUGAGGAGCUCUUAGAAAUAAUGACCAGCCAUGAGAUUAGAGUUCGGAUGAAACACCUAACGAUCUUGGCAAAUCAAACACAAGUUACAUUGACAACAUUCGACGGAGUUACAAAAUAUGGCCGGUUCGGUGGUCGAGGACGUUCUGGUGGUGGUCAUGGUAAUAAGUCAGUCUAGCCAAGAAGAGAUCCAUGUCCGGUUUGUGGUAUUUUAGGAUACAGUCUAUAAAUGUCAAUACAGGGUUCAGCCAAAUCAAAAUAAUCAGGUGCAAGAAAAUCUCAUAACAUACCACAUCAACUUGGUUUCCUGACACGGGCGUCACUCAUCACUUCACGCCACAUGUGCAGUCCAUCACCACUCCACAUGUCUACAAUGGACUCAGGUCAGCCCAACGAGAUAAUGGAGACAAAUUAAAAAUUGCACACAUGAAAGAUGGUAAAAUUUCAAGUGGAGCCUCUACUUUUUUUACUUAAAAAUAUUUUGCACAUUCCAUCCUUAAACACUCCAUUAUUAUCAGUCCAACAAUUUUGCUAUGAUAAUAAUUGUUAUUUUGAGUUUAAUUUUUCUCAUGUCUUUGUAAAGGAUCAGGUCACACACAAGGUGCUACUUCAAGGAGCACAUGAUGGCCAUCUUUACAAGCUUGUGCCCUCUUUGUUUAAUCCUUCACUUCACUCGGUUCGCGCUUCGAUUGAUCUUUGACAUCAAUGACUUGGACACCUGCACGAGUCUAUAGUGCAUCAAGUUGUCUCCAAAAACAAUCUUCCUUUGAGUGCUUCUAAAUUCAAUAAAUGUAGGUCAUGUAUUUUGGGUAAGGCAAGUAGAUCUCAUCUUGCUUCUCCAUACUCUAAAUCUCAUUUUCCACUUAAAUUAAUUCAUAGUGAUGUCUGGGGGCCCUCUCCGGUCUCAUCUCAUGAUGAACAUUGCUAUUUUGUUUUCUUCAUCGACGAUUUUUCGAAAUUUAUUUGGAUUUUUUCCAUUAAACUCAAAUCUGAAGUUGCUGAUGUUUUCAAAAAAUUUCAUGCAUUAGUUGAAAGACAACUUGAUUGUAAAAUAAAAUCAUUUCAAUCAGACUAUGGUGGAAAAUUUCAGGCACUUGCGUGUUAUUUAAAUGCACAUGGAAUUCACCAUAGACGAGCAUGUUCCCACACUCAUAAAUAAAACGGGACAGCCGGAAGAAAGAUAUGGCAUAUCUUUCGAUACAGGGUUAACUCUCCUCGCUCACAGAGUCACAGUAAGGUUCCGUUUCAUUUUUGGAAUUUUGCUUUUUCCACCUUAGUUUUCUCAAUUAAUUGUAUUUCUUCUAAAACUCACGGUGUUUCACCUUUACAAAAACUUUUCAAUAUCAUUCUGGGACACUCAUUUCUUAAGGUUUUUGGGUGUGAAGCAUUUCCAUUGUUGAGACCCUACAACCGUCACAAAUUCAGUUUUUAUUCUCAGUCAUGUGUUUUUUUAGGUUAUAGCCCGUCUCAUAUAGGACUUGAUAUUCCAAAUCAAAAAUACUAUAUAUUUCGACAUUGUACUUUUCUCGAAAACUCUUUUUUCUUUGAAAAUUUACAGGUUUCUCAAAAUCAUUCUCAAAUUCCAGCACCUAGCAACUCAAGUCCAUGGGGUGUGUUCACAACAUCAAAUAUAGAUGUCUCAAAUUCUGAUCAACAAAUCUCACUCAUCCCACAUGAGGAAACUGGGUCCGUCUCACCAAUUUCAACAAGCCCGAUGACUCAUGAUUUUACUAUAUCUCAAAGUCGUCUUCAACUUGAGUCUUCCCCAAAUGUAUCACCGUCAAGAAUCAA
rnacentral:lncRNA from 1 species